UUUCCACACUGAGUGGAGUCAAAACCGUGAGGAUAUUUCACGGACCAUGUACAAAGGCCUUGAACACGCGGUAGGCCUACCGGUACGACUUCAGUCAUAAUGUCGAGUCGAGACAUUUUAACUAGAGUUGUAAAACCAUUCCACAAACAGAGAAACCGUGUCAAAUCUUCUGUGUAUAAAUAGUGAGGGACUAUCACAGCCCAGAUGAAGAUAAACCAUUAAAUACCGCCGGAUAAGUCCAAAACCACUGAUUCUUGGCUAGCCUACCUGCAGCAGUGGAGCUAGCUUUCUCAUACAAGAGGCCUGGCCAAUAAAACUGUUGAGUUUCUUUCACUUACGAGGCUCGUGGUUAAAGUUUUUCAUAACAGAAGUUUCUCUGUCAUUUCUACAGAUGCACAGACCCACUGAAUUAUUGUGAGUUCUCCACGUUGAGACCACAAUGAAGCUGAAGAAGCUGAGGGCCUGUCUAAUGGAGUUGACCUGGUUGCUGCAGUCUCCAUUGCGGCCUAUCAAUUACACAAAGUUUACAGGUGAGGCAUUUCAUUUGUUUUUAUUCUUCUAUGUUGGCAUAGUUCAUUCUUCACAUCUUGAUGAUAAGAUGUACUGCUGCAUGCUAACUCAUGGAGUUAGUCUUAGCUGUUUCUUUACCCAUUAGUCUGUAUGUUUGUAGUCUGUAUUGUAUGGAAUUGCCCCCUGUGGGACUAAUAAAGAAACAUCUUACUUCUAUCUAAACCGUUCUACUAGAGAAAUUUUUUCAUGAGAUUCCUAACAAAUGAAUUUCCCUUUGACACUGUGUAGUUGUCCAUCAAAUGUAAUGAAUGGGUUGUACAGUUUAGACAUAAAUGUGUAUAUAUUUUAAAGAAAAAGCGGAAUCCACUGAUUUAACAAUCCAGAAAAUGUGUUUCAGUAAGUGUGGUAGUAGACACAAAACCCCCCGAUAUAGGUUGUGUGAUGGGUAGCUAGUCUUUUAAAGAAGUUACCUAGAAAGACAGAAUUUUCUGGUAUUUUGUGCCUAAUGAUUAUAGGACUCGCUCAGUACGAUUUGCUUUAUAGAUCUGAAAGGCAUGUGGGUCUGAAAAACCUUCGUUGAAUGGCUUUACAUUGCAACAUUGCCAAUAACCAGCUUCAUCCUGUUUGAUAUAGUUGAAGGAAAAACAGGACUACACCAUAUAGAGAACUGUUUCAACUUACUCUGUAUGCAACACCAUGCAAACUUGGAAACUUUUAUAUAACAGUGGUCUGUGCACAACUUGUAAAGCGCCUACCUAAAAAGUGUAUAACAUGGUUCUGUAAUUUAGUACGGACUAGGUGAUAUGAUGGCAUCAAUGUGAAUGCAAGGCUGUUCAUGUGGAAGUUUAUAUGUAGCCACACGAGGGCAGCAGAGAACUUUAUCAAUAUCAGAAUCAGAUAGGUGCUGGGGUAUAUGAAAAUUGAAGUAUUUGCAAGGUUGCAAUUUGAAAUACAGUCCUUAUUGCCAUUUAUCUAGCUCUCUAAACCUCUAUGAAUUCAGUAUCUGUUCACUUCCAGUCUAGUUGAUGAACUACAUUCUAUGGGACCCCACAUGCUUUAGUUUUGUCAUAUUAAAAAAAAAAGAAAAAUGUAGGUUAUGUUACUAGAUGAUGUAAAACUACACAUCAACCAGUUCAUUAUCACCUGUACUUAUGGUUUUAGUACUGAACUUAAUAUCUGUUUUGGAGAAAUCAAGACAUUUUGGGGGGAUUUAAAUGUUCAGUGUCAAAUUAAAGCUGCUAAAAAUUGCCCAUCCUCAUUUUUGAUGAUACGUGUUUUUGUUAAAAGUACACAAUUGUCAUGAGAGUGAGAUAAUCUCUUUAAGGAGUACUGAUUGGGCUAAAAAAUUAAAAUAGGAAGCCUUGUGGUUUUCCCAGUGUGCACUUGUGAACUUGUCUACACUGAUGCCCAGGCACUGGACUGUCCAGAAAUUUCAGCAGGGCCCCCCAGCUACUUCCCUCCAAAGGCUCCAGGCAGGAUAAUCAGGCUAACCGUCACAUAAUGCAGAACAUAGGAACAGUAAAGAGAGAUUUAUGGCGGGUGUGUCAGUGAUGGUGUGAUGGACAGAGCAGGGAGGUCGAUUAGAGAGCAUGUGUAAUAGAGUUAUAAAGAGCAGACAUCAUGUGAUUGAAUGGCGAGCUCAGAGGAGGUAGCAAGUGUCGCAGACCCAGGUGGCUUUCGUUGUCACGGUGACUUAGAGCAGGGUUGCCGUGGAGAUGAUGAUGAAAGACAACAGUCUUGUGAACUGCACUUUGGGGCUGGAGCGUGACCAACAACUUGCAGCGAAAUGUGCCCAAGGGGACGUAGAUGGUUGUGUUUGGGGUCAGCGCAAUGUUAUGUUUGUUCAGUGUCUUUAUUCGGCCUGUAUUCAGUGUGACACCCAGGCAUUGUACCAAGUGUUCGUGAAAUGAGUGGCAGUUUAGCACCAAGGUGGUGGUCCCUCUUCAGCAGCCUUGAGAAACUUUUAACACUUCAGCUACAAACAUAUCUCAUUACUGGAACACCACGCAGUCCUCAGUACAGUCAGUGCCACUCAAAAGUGUGUGUGUCAGUGUGUGUCUGUGUGUGUGUGUAAAGCCAGAGCACUGACUGUAUAAGAGCGCACCUGGAUCUUGUUAGGAGAGAGGGACACGGUAGCUACACACUUUAAUUUCCCUCAGUCUCAGUGCCUCACAGAACCCAAACAUAGCAGCUUGAAAAAGUACGUGACGAGCCAGGUUUAAAGUAAAACCACCAGAUAAAGCAAUCAGCAGAACUCAUAUCACCCUUGAAUAAAACAUGUCCUAAAAUAACCAAGGCAAAACAAGGAUCAAUGAAACAGCUAAUUGUAGUUACAUUUGUUCAUCUUUGCUUACAGUGUUUCCCACCUUUACUGCAGCUCCUUUUUCUUUCCUAUAGAGGGCAGUGUGGAUGCUGCUAGGUUCGAAAGUGUUCAGUAAAUAAAAUUUGCAGGUGCAUUCCAUGAGGCCAUGGGUUAUUUAAGAUGAUUAGAACCAGUUCCCUGGAUACCAUAAAAAGAAACACCCCACAUAUUCAAUAUAAACAGGAUUUAGCUGGUAUUAGUAGGGUUUUAUUGUUCACACUAACAAUUAAAGAGGCUCGGCAUGCAGGCUUGGAGUGAGCUCAGUCUCCUUACCCUUUGUGGCCUUGAACUAACUGUGGCGCAUGUUUCCCCUUGUGUUUGUAUUCUGUAAAAAAUUCCUUAAUUUGACACAUAUUGCUGAGUUUACAGCAUCGUGGAAGGGUACAAACCACAGUUUUGUUGUACAGUUAUGGAUUUGGCAUCACAUUUGCUUCCCCCCACAUAAACGAUAUGCAGUAUGGUGUGCAAGAACCAGUGGGGAUCUUAUUUGAUUGGAAAGUGCCAGAUAUCAGAGAAACACUUCAAUAAGGCUUUAUGAAUUCAACUCCAGGCCUGUUGCAGGGGAUCUGGCUAUUUUCAAGGAGGUGAAUUGUGACAGUUGAUGGAUUGUGUAAGCUAUUUGUGCUAAUACUAAAAUCCGAUGUGUUUAAUCCUUUGAACAAUGAAUGAAUGAAAAUGUGCCUGAAACUGGGGUGAAACCCCAGGCAUACCAGAUUUGAGGUGUCCAGGGUCUCAUUGAGUUUUUGGCAGCAGCCUGCUGUAUAAUCUCAGACGCCUAGCACACUUUGAGUGGGGCCUUUUUAAAAUGGGAUUUCCAAAAACCAAGUAUUUAACCCUUUUAAAGAGGCUUGGCAUUGUUUUUAUGAAAACAUAUGAAAGUGGGGGAAGGAAUAUGAACAGGGAGAAUAACAUGGAAAUGAUUACCUGGGUGUUUGUUAAGUAUGUGUGCUUGAGCGUUCGUACGUUUAGAGUAUAUAUGCAUGAGUGUGUGAGGUUAGAGUCCUGGGGUUUGGUAUUUUGGUUGGAGAAGGGCCAUCAUGAUUACCACAGAGGUGCAGUAUUCUCGUCCCUACAGAAUCCAAUUUUAACCCUCACUUCAGCUUCCCAUGUCUGAACACACCACCACUACACUCACUGUUGUGCAACCGAACGCAUGCAGACAUCUGUUUGGAAUUUUGGCUUCAAAUGAGAAAUGGUAGUCACUGUAUGAUAUGUUGAUAUUUAUUUGUUUCACACUUCUCUUGGCUUGCAUCAAAGAUGUACCUUACAAUAAAAGAAGUGAUAAGCUGCAAAAUUGGAGGAAUGGAUGAAAAAGUUACACGAAGAAUGGAAGAAGAGAAGCAAAAUAAGACAAGGGAAGUUUAAUGGAAGUUGGAGUGUGUGUGGAUGUGCAUGCAGAGACCCGGAGAGGUGCACCGCUGUGCAGGGAGACAUUGAACCGCUGCUGGUUUGAAGAAGUCUUUCAUUACCUCAGCCCUGUCCAGCUGGUUCCAACUGACCCCCUUACGCUCCCUGUCUGUCUGAGCUGUCUGUCUUCUGUGCAUCUGGGCAGGUCUUUAGGUAAGACAGGGACUCAGUGAGAUGUGUGUUCUUCUGGAGGUAGAAAGUAAAAAAAAACAGCUCGAGGGGCUUGUGCAGCACAGCAGCACUACGGAGGAUUAUAAUUAAUGCUGCACACAAUAAUGCACUUGACUUUUAAGACUAAUGCACACACACUAACACCAUUUGGGGAGGGUGAAGGUGCUCUGGAGCUGGAUGGAGGGUCAUUUUAAGUCGAGGUGCACAGGGCUGGACCUCGCCCCAGGGAUGGAGUGGGGAGGGAGGUAAGGGGGGAAAAGGAGGAAAUAGGCAAACUAAAAACACAUGCAAGGUCAAGUGUAGUCCUUCAUCUAACAUAUAAUGGAAAGGCAAGCUAAGAACAAGCCAUGUUGCUGGAAGAGUGGAGUUUUUUUAUUCUUUUGCCUGUUUUAUGAAUGUUUUAUGCAUGAUGAUCUGUUUGUGUGUCAGUUUUGUCCGAAAGGUGAAAGAAAAUACUGGAUCUGAUAAUCAGUUAGUGUUAACUUCUGCUAUAUAAGUGUAACAGUCAGGUUAUUUCAGAAAAACACUGCCUUUCUUUUUCGUUUUUAGUCUCUCUGAGAUCUUGAAAUGUACCAGUGCAGAGGAUUUGUCACAACUGGAUUGCUGUGACUCUUUGUUUCAAUUUCGGCUAUACCUUCCCUGUCCAAUUUACUGUCCCUGCGAUCACUUUCAGAGCACUGUGUGGUGGGCUACCAUCUGUAUUUGUGGCUUAUACAGCUCUAACCUCCACUAUGUUUGCACCUGAAACUUAAAAAGAUCUGGCAUUUAAAGCAAGACAAAAAAAUUAGAAAAAAUAUGAGAAAUAUGUCAAACGACAGCUUUUUCUUUCAUUUGGUUGGUGGUCUCUAUCAGGCCUACUUUCUUUUAGCCUUAAAAAACUAGAAAGAAGACUCACACAGACUUAAAUAACUCACUUUAAGGGGCAGCUGUGGGUCAGUGGUGGAGACGAUUGUCUCCCAAUUGCAAGGUCAGGGGUUGGAACCAGGUCUUGCUGCCCACAUGCCAUGGUCUCCAUGAGCAAGACACUUUAUCCCAGCCGCCUCUGCUGGCUAUACCUAGUAGUGGGUGAAUGGAAUUAGCUAGUGUUGAUGAAUGUGGUGUGAAUGUGUAUAUGUGACUUGUCAUGUAAAAGCUGUAUAAACAUCGUUCAUUUACUCUUACUUUCAUAGUACUUUGAAAUGGGAUGGACCGGCUACCAGUUUGACGGUAUGCCAAGCCGAGGUUGGGGAAAAAAAUUAAGGUGUCAAAACCACCAGUAGUCAUCUCCAUACUGUUCCUACAGUGAGAUAUCGAUCAGCCUCUAGGAGGAACUGCAAGUUUUAGGGGCUUCUGUUCAAGCCAGGGCAAAAUGAUGGAGGACUUCAGGUCAAGACUUAAUUUUAUGUGAUUUUUACCAUCUAACACAUGCCAUCUAACUAAAAACUCAGAAGCCAGGAUAGUGCUGAAGAAUACUGUCAGAAGUAUAUUUUUUCUGCUACUCUUGCGUGUAGAUUUCACUCAAUGCCUAAAAAAUUGGUUCUGGGAUCAGAUCUGAGUAAUUCUCUGCAUAGACCUGCUGAAUUUUGCGGCACAAUGUUGUUGGUUCGACUCCUGGCAAAGACCUUUUGCUGCAUAUUUUCCCUCUCUUCCUACUCGCCACAUUUCUUCAGCUGCCCCAUCAAUGUAGCUAAAUGAUGCCCCAAAACCUGAUCAGUAAACAUUAACAAAAAAAAAAAAAAACACACAAAAAACUUACACCAAAACAGCUGUUAAAAUGUAGAUGCUAUGGAUAUGGCUCUGAUCUGCCUUUACUGGAUUUAACAGAAAGACAUUUAGCAUGUGGUCAUUAGAGAUGAACCAACAAAGACUGGAGGAGCAUAAUGGCCUCCACACGGGUUCUCACUUGAACCACAAGGCCAGAGGAACCCCAUAUUGACGGUUUAACUUUAACUGACACUUUCUAGGGACACAGGGUGUAAAACAUCUACCGUGCUGGUGUACUUUAUGAGCUUGUGUGUACGUUACAGUGUUGUUUUGACUGAAUGUGUGUUUCCUUUUGUUGCACCUGACACCCCAGAUGGUACUGUCAAGCUGCCCAUGAUUCAAUGCACCGCCGGGCACCUUGUGCGCUGAAGCAGCUCUCACCUCUGACCUGACGGAAAAGCACAAAAGAGGUGAGUCCAGAUGAUACCACAAAGAAGUUGCAUGCUCACACACACACACACAUUUUUUUUUUAACUGAAAUGAAUGUCAAUCACAAUUCGUGUUAAUGUCAAACAGACGGGCCUUACUGUUGAUAUACAGCAGCAGAGACAGAGAUGCAGAAGAUGGGAGUGGGGGUAAAAGGCAGUUAAAGAGCUGUCCUCAUACAUCAUCCACCCAGCUGAGCACCCUCAACUCAGACACACUCUUCUCUCACACACAUAAACAGACCAGACAAGCAGUAAAUACAUUGUAGAUGUAGUGAUAAAUAUCUGCGUUAUCUGCCUGUGCAGGUGUAUUCAUAUACAUGCACAUGCAAGAGGGACAAACUGUGUUAUCUAAUGCACUUCAAUGUGCAUCUUUACAGUGACUUAAAGGAGGAAAUCUGUCAAAACAGAGGAGAUUGUCUGCGCAGUUUGCUUACUAGCUGUACUUUUCAUUGAUACCUGUCUGUUUCUGGUGUCUGUGAUGGAUUUCCCCUUAUUCCUGUCUCUCAAAUGUCUUCUUUUCUGCUAAGUAUAUUACCUUGGACCUUUAUAGCACACCCCCUCUCCCUCUCUGUCUCUCCUCCUCAAUAAUAGAACUCGGUUUAUAAGGCUCGGCAGACCUGGCUAAUCUAACCCACAUGCCAAUAGUGCUGUGCCCGUUCUCUCUCCCACUUUAAUGAAGCUAACACAGACUCUGAAACUGCAGUAUGCUUGUGUGUGUCCAUGUGUGAGUUGGAACACCAGACCUGGCAAAAAAAAUAACCUUACAACUCAGUCUGGACCAGUGAUGAGACGCAGCAGGGAAGAGAAGAAGAAAGUCGAGUUUCUCACUUUUAAAUCAGUUAUGAUUUGUACACACUUUUACAUACAAACGCAUAAACACAAGCUGAUCCACACACAGAUGUCUCAGCUAAUUGAUUGCGAGUGUGCGGCUCGUAGAGUCAUUGCCCGUGAUUGGCUCUAAGUGUGUGGUUUGUUUGUGGCUGACACUAAUAGACCACACAGCAGUGCUUCCCUCCCUCCCCCCCUCCCCACCCACACAGACUUAAUUCAAUCAAGAAUCAAAUCAGAUGCAACUGUUGCCCUGAUUUUAUACAGCCAUGAGAAAAAUUGUUUGAAGCUGCUAUCAGAUGGAGCCGGGGGCGUGUCCUGAGUGUUUUUGACUGGGUUGGCCAAACUGUGGCACUGAUAAAGGAAGGGGUGGACACACAAAAAUGGCAUUCAGCCUGUCUGAUUUCACUAUCUACUUUAUUGAUUAUCAUUUAGGAGUUAAACAAGUUAUUUUUGAGGUUUUUUUUUUUUUUUACUGCACGAAGAAAGACAGCAGGGUCCGUAACAUCAGGAAAAAAACAGGGAAAACCAAUAGUUGGUUUCAACAGUAUUCUUGGGAUGGCUAGUUGGAGUACAAGGGGGCUGGUACCAAAACUUUUCUUUUGGGUGUUAACAACCAAUAAAAUAAUGAUAAUAAUACUAUUACUACUACUACUACUUCUACUAAUAAUAGUAACAACACUAGUGAUAAUAGCAAUAAUACUACUACUAAUAAUAAUACUAAUAAUAAUAACAAAAAUAAAAAUAAUGAUAAAAUAACAACAAAAAUGAUAAUAAUAAUGAUAAUAAUAAAAAUACUACUACUACUACUACUGCUAUACUACUUAAAAUAGUAAUAAUAAUAUACCCAUGUAUUUAGUGUCACACAGCUGCUUUUAUGCUGAGGUGUUCUAUUUAGGAUUAUUUUAUGCUGGUUUAGACUGUAUUCUAUUUACGGAGAUCCAGUGUAAAGACAGGAUAAGAUUGAGCCCUGUUUUAUAAACUCAGACCCACUCUGGUCCCAUCUUCAACUACAUGAGUGUAGCUCUUAGCAGCAUCUCGCAUUUAGUCAGAGUUGCACAUAAGAACUUCCUUAUACCAGGCAGAAACCUUGAGCGGAACCAGACACAUGUAAGACAGUCACCUGCCUUUAGUGCAAUGGGUUUAGAGAGGGGAUAGAGGGAGAUGCAAACAGAGGUGAGGUUGAUGCAUGUAGUUGAAACAGCUGGAGAGUCCACAGCUUCAAAAUGUCUGCAGCAGUGAUCCAGAGGAACCUGCAGCAUGGUGGAGCUCAGGGACUCCCAGAAAAGACUGUGUAUUAGUGAUUCUAAUGGGACAUGAUGAUUUAAAGUUUUUUUGCACCUGCAUUUUAAGAGUGUUUUAGAAGAAGACAGGCGACUGCAUCUGUUUUUUGUGGGGGGGAUCAUGCCCUACUUUUGAAACCAAAAGAAACAUUUUUCCAAGUUCAGCCACAGAAAUCGUCAUUGUUAACCCAGCUGUGCUUAUAAAAAUAGAAAAAGGUAUCCAUGCACAUUAAUCUUAAAGAUUACAUUUCAGAGCAUUUCCACAAACUGCCAUGAGAUCAGGACUGUAUAAAUGUGCACAAGCUUUUUGCCGAUCGAAGCUGGAAGUGUCUGAGUGACUGUGUGCCCGCUGCUCACCAGAAUAACACAUGCUGUGGCGUAAUGCUGGAAAUGUCUGUCAGUGAGUGUGUGAGUGUGCUGACUGAUUGAGAGUGUGUGAGAGUGUCUAAUAUCGGCCGUGUCAUCUCACACGUUCAGGGUACCCAGCACGCCACCUCAAGAUCCAGGAAAGACUGCAGGAAACUAGGAUGGGGAUGUCCCUGUGUACGUGUGCGUGUGUGAACUGAAGAGUGAGAAUUUUUUUAUAAGUUUGAUGAGAGAAGUGGGGGAAAAGGGUGGAGACUCCUUCGAGAUUUCUUUGGCACUUAAUCUGAGCGUCUUGAAUCUCUGUUAGUUCUGUGCUGAUGUCUGUGCAGGCAGCUUGUGUAUGUAUGUGUGUGUGUGUGAGACAACUGCUGCAUGUGUUCGGUCCACAGUUGGUGAGACAUCCUGUGGGGCUUGGCAACACAGUAGGAGGCAGCUUACCCUUUUGACUUUGCUGUGUGUGUAUUUGAGCGCAUAUCUGCGAAUGUGUAUCUGUGCGCACAUGCGUGUGCUGACAGGAUUUACUAUUCGUCAGUCCAUCCUGUCAUCACCUCGUAACUCUGGGACCGGCUGGGAUCCUGAAAAGAGGCAGCUAACGGCCCAAAAGUUGAGUCUUGAGUUCUGCAACAUUUGGUUGUAAGAAUUCUCUUGAGCAAAUACGUUUCGCUUAAAUAGCACAAAAUUAAAUUAAACAAAGUAGAAACCCAAAUGGUUACACUGUACUCAAUCGAGUAAGGCUUAGGAUGUACCUGAAAAAGCUUCAUUAUCUUUUCAACCAACGCCUCAAAAAAUCUUCUGCAAACAAAUCCGUGAAGAAAAUGGUCCUUGAAUAUGCCUCAGUGUUUUGUGUGCUUUUGGAGAAUUCAAAAUACAGAGGCCCAGAGUCCAUGGAGAAAUGCUUAAAAAAAGGUACUGACCUUGCCCCUGCUAUUCUGACAGGGAAAUCUCUUCUUUUGCAGCUGCAGUGACGCAAUAAAAAUGUGAUUCUCAGGGCCAAUAUAGUCUUUUAGCUUGUCUUCAAAAAUUCACCCACGUUGCUGUCCUCCAUACUGACUCUUGACCCUGUCAUAUUCCCACAGUGUCCCUUUUGUGUCUGAGGAUAUACUCAACAAAUUAGGGCUGGGCGAUAUGGGAAAAAGUUUACCAUGAUAUACUUUUUUCAUAUCAGUCUUUAUCGAUAUAUAUCAUGAUAUUAAAAAUGAAAUUUAACAGUGCUUAUUGGUAGCAUGUCUUUUGCAAUUCAAUAAGCAACUGCAUCUGUGAGGUCUUUGUGUCUCCUCCAUAUUUUGUCGUGAGGCAUUGCAGUAGAGAAAGCGGGCUGAAUGGUCGGCUGCACAGGCGCAAUGGGCUACCUCCUCCGCUCGGGGUUUGUAAACUUUUGCAUUGCGCGUGCUCUGCCGCAUGGUACUGCUUCAGGUGGUGAAAAAGAUUUGAUGUAUUCCCCGACUUUGCGAGAACGUGUGCUCGACAUAAUUUGCAGUGCACAUGACUCUGCUUCAUGUCCGACCUCAAAAUACCUCCACACCACUGACGUUACAGUGCUAUGGUUGCAUGUAGCUGCAGCCUGCUACUAAGCAAUUGUUUGCUACUUGGUUCUUAUUCAGCACAUGACUGGUUCAGCGCAAAGUGGACCCCGAGCAUGUUUUAGAUUGAUGUUGAGGAAAUUGAUUUUUGAUAUAUAUUGUUAUCGUUUUAUCACCCAGCCCUACAACAAAUGUAAAUAAAUAGUACUAAUGAGCACUGCUUAUUACAUAUAGGCUUGAAGUUGAUGCUUAAAAUUCUCCUUUGAUCCCGGGAAUGCCCGCUCUACAAGAAGUGUAGAGGGUAUAGAAAUGGUCUCAGCCAAAGCUCAAUGAAAACUAGAACUGUUUGGAGUUUCACAAUCUUCCCUCUAUCUCACAUAGAGACGACCAAAAUAGGCACGAAAACACCAUAAAUUUCCUCAGAACAACUUGUGCACCAUUUCCCAAGUGUCUUCAAGCCAAAUGAUUGCAGUACACAUCCAACUGGCCACAGUUACUUUAAUGUGUAAUAUUAAUUUGUGCUGGGAGGAAGUUGUGUAGAGUUUCCAUUGACAUGAGAGUGUGUUGAAGAGCGAAAGUUAAUAACUAAUAUUUCUGCCCAUUAACUGCUCAUUAAAGAGAUUGUUAAAAAUGAUGAGCCUUUUCUCCUCCCUGAGAUAUGAAACUCCAGGAUGAUGCAGAUUUGUAAGCAGGCUAUACCAAUCACAGUGACUUUCCCGUCUCCUUCUCUGUCGGCUCAUUCAGUCAUGAUGUGAAUACAACAGCAGAUUAACAAAAGGGAGAGCGAGGCAGAGAGAGGGAGAGAGCGAGAGAGACAGGAUUGUCUGGAGCCUGUCAGUUAGAUAGAUAGAUAGAUAGAUGGAUGGAUGUAGAUAGAUGGACAGACAGAUAGACAGACCGACAUCAGGGGUUGUGAUGUCCCUGGAGAAGGUGAUGUAGUAUUCUAUAGUCAUUUUGGGUCUAAGCUGCAGAGAAUACCCUAAAUAUCACCAACUGCAUGAAUGCAUUACACAGAAAUUUAAAUUCAACCAUCACCUACUUAAAGGUGGGGUGGGCAGGAUUCUGUUAAAGAAGCAUCUUUUUUGUGGUGUUUAUACAAAAUAGCUUUUAAUAUCAGUCAAUAACUAUUAGUUAUUGAUGACAUUUAGGAAUAUCAUGAUAUCACUGUGUUCUGUUGUGUGUUUAGUCAACAUUUAAAAUUUUUUGAGUGGCUGACUCUUUCUGACUGUAAACAAAGCCUUUCUCCGCCUCCCCCGACCUGAUUGGUUGUAAGGCAGAUGCUGCUCCCUUGUGUUGUGCGUCCUUGAAUAAUGUUUACAAUCCCAAACAAAGUUAGCGUGCUACAAUAUCAGACUGUAGAAAACCAACAAGAAAGUACAAAAAAUUAUCUGAAUCCUCCUUCGACCAAGACCGCCAACACAAGCAAGAAAACUAAAUACUGGAGACUCUGGCGGAAUAAUAGGUGCUUGAAAUGGAGGUAGACCAGACAAGAGCUAGAAAGCCGGGUCAACAUCAAUGAAGCAUAAAUGAUAGGGGACGCUUCGGGAUCUUACAGACCCUAUAACCUUUCUACUGGACAGGUAAACCACUCUAACAAAGUAAGACAAGUGUCUCUAACAGAAGUGUUUCUUGUCAAUUGAGACCUGCCGCAUGUUGUAGCACCGCUAAACUGUUGACCUCGGGUCCUGGAGUAUGUCACUUUAUCCUAGUUGUAGAAGUCCUGCAAACAUUGUGUUUGCUGGUAGUCUGUUGGCAUCAAUGCUUUUUUACUUUCACGUUGACUGGGCCCCAUUUGUAAUUAUCUGAAGUAUUUAUCUGCAUUAUAUCUGAAUAUAGUUGAAACGAUACGAGCGAGCAGGAGGAGCUGAGGGGAAAACUGGUUGGGAGGGGUAGUGUUUACAUUCAAGAUUUCUCCCAAAAACUAGCACUUCCUCAGUUCUUGCCCACCCCACCUUUAAUCACUACGGAUGCAUGACCUAAACAGACUUAAACUAGUUUUCCUGUUUUGUCUCUUUUUUUUUGUCUUUUGUCCUUAAUUCCUCACAAGUUGUGUAAAUGUCAGAGAAAAAUCCAAACUUUCAGACAGAUGUAUUCCUGUGAUCUAUCCCUUCCCACCGCUUACCUCUCAUCACUUUUCUUGCACACGUCAGAGAGAUCGAAAUGUCUUCCAGUACUUCUUUUUCUGGAGGAGAAGUGAUAACACGAGAACGUCGACAUGUCGAGAUGGUUCCUCUGAUAGUGCUUGGAGGGCUGAUUUGCACACAUGGUUUUACUGAUCUACAUCUGGAAGUUGUCUGGAGAUUAUCUUCAUACUUUGGAUUUAACAUAGAAAAGCGGGGAGAUUACACGACUGAAAAGAUGUAGGGUGAAAAAAGGAUUUUUAAUGUUGACAUUCUACGUUGGAUACAAGGUCCAACAUCAUGUCAGCAGCCUCAAGUGUUCAGAUCGAAGAAGUCUGAUGAAACUCUUCCUUCCAGUGUGUGUAUUCUGCUCUGUAGGCUCACAUACAUGGGUGCCUGUACGCCUUAGCCUAUUUAAGUGCACGCUGGCAGACAGGUUAUUGAUUUGCGAGGGUGAAUUUGUGUUAAAAUUCAAGGUGGGCUUUCUGUCUUGUCUGUUCCCCUUGGCCGACAGAGCUCCCCAUAGAUCUGCAUGCACUCUACACACCCUCUGUUCACUAAUUCAUUAGUUUCACUCUCACACGACUAUCAAACACUAUCAUCUGGCAUCCAAGUAGCUGCUGAGGCAAGUCUGCAAUUUCACCUUUGGGGGAGGAAAUGCACAAUGCAGCAUACCAAAUGCCAUACAGAUGUAGAAAGUAUAGAGCUUGACUUUUUUUCCCUUUUCAUUGAGCGCAAACCACUGCCAUACUAAUGGUGUUUCUGAACUGAUUUAUCUGGAGAGUUACUGUUCUUAAAAUAGAUUGAUAGAUAACAUUUAAAAAUACAAAGUCAUUCUAUGUGAUCUGCAUAUUCUUGACUAUAGUUUGGUGAUGAGAAUAUAUCAGAAAAUCAUCUGCUUAGAUCAGGGCAGAAAGAGAGGCACAUCGGACCCCGGCUUCCCUUGCAGAAUUUUGUAAAAGUAGCGUUCCUGGAAAUGCUGUCGAGUCAGGAAAUAUGUUUCUACCCAGUGAACCAAUCACAGGUCUUGCAGUCAGCGCUGUUUUGACAUGUAGUCCUGUGUGAUGGACUUCAUCUGAUCUACACAGUCUCUUUCUACCUCAGAGAGAGUUUUUGACCUGCUCUUUGUGAACAACUUAAAAAGAUGAUUUGGAUGAUGGUGGCAUUUAUUAUUAUUUCAUGAUGGUGAGGAUUUGUUCUUUUGUUGCUGUGGUAAUAACAUAAAAAACCUGCUUUUUAUAAACCUUGUGCGUUGCCUCUGGCAGUGGAUGGCAUGACCUUCAUUCAACUGGACUUGAAGCUGUUGGUGUCAUUCACUCAUGUGGUGUUGUUUUCCUCCUGUCUUGAUCUUUGCUUGCGUUGCACUCAUAGACUGUAUAUAGAAUAGGCGCUGUCUGCCUCCUCACUGGGUGAAGCCACUCCGAGAACAGCACCCUCUGGUGAUGGGCUGCAGUAUAGGUCAUAAUUCCUCCUCUGCCAGCAAAGCUAAUGAGGCUGUGGACAAUUUAUUUACAUAGAAUUUAUUAUACAGAAUAUAACAGGAAUUGCUUAGCUUAUAUUAGAGGUGAUAGAGGGAGUCAAGAAUUAGGAUUGACUACAGAGAGGUUAGAUUAAGGCUCUGCCUCCCAGACUCCUUUUUUUUAGACUUUAGGUACCACAUGCCCACCUGCAUUCUGUGAGAUGAGAUUUUCAGGGAUAACAAGGUACUAAGAGCUCUUGUACAAAAAAUGGUUCGGUAUUGCUGAUAGCAGGCAUGGUUCCCAAUGUUGACAGGGCUCAAACCCUGUCCAGACUCAUCUGUGCGGGCUUGUCAGCUGUUUAGCUAUACGAGAAUAGUUGGUAUUUGGAGUUCUGGCCAACAUCUGCAAACCUUAAGACAAGAGAUCAUAAAAACUCUGAGGGGAAUACAAAGUUACAUUUGCAAAAAAGAAAUGGAAAUGAAUGCAAACUGAUGGUAAAAGAAGAGGAUAACUUGUCUUCUGGGAGUCUAAGUCUAUGGUGAUGUAAUCAGGGGUGGUCCAAAGUAUGAGGCCUGAGCAAUCCCCAACUAUCAGCUUUAUCAAAAUGAAGAUGACUUUGCUUUCUCUCAAAAGUAAAGCAACUGUCUAACCUCUGGACUCGGUCUGGUAGAUGAUUCCAUGAAAGAGGGUCCGAUAACUUAAGGCUCUACCUCCCAUACUACUUUUGGAGACCUAUGGUAUCUCAAGCAAGCCUGCAGUCUGGGAGAUUGUUCAAGAAGAAACUUGUGAAAAUAAUGCUGUUGUAGAAAUGACUAUGCUUGACUGCGACCAGACAUAAUCAAGGAUUUUAGCAGAAUUUGAACUCUUUUACUAAUUCUUUGUAACUAAGAAGAGAGCUCUUUCCUUUUUGCUCUUCCAUACUUGCCUUAUUUCUUCAGACUGGGAGUUGUCGUUUGGUAACUCCCUCUUGAACGCCGUCUCUAAAAGCUGAGUUAAAAGAGAGCUUUGGCUGAUUCAUCCUCCAAAGCUCUCUGCCUGUCUCUCCCAGUCAGUUCAGGGACAGUUGCGGGGAGGAGUGCCCUUUUGAAUGCCGACCUCGUUGGGAACGGUGACCUCCGGCAGGUUCAACAGCCACCGCAGCAACAUAGCAGUCCUGUCAUCUCAUCCGCAGGGUUUGCAUGGCUAACCACUGCCCAGCAAGCAGGAUGUUUGUGUGUGGCUGUAUUUUUGUGCACUAGAGAGAGGGAGAGUGUAUGAAUGUGUGUGUCUGUGUGUGUGUUUGUGGUAGUUUGAAGUGUGCAACUGUAACAGUGAAGCUUUCUAAGUGUGACCCACAUAAAAGGUCUGAAUGAGCCUCAGGACUCUGAACAUACAUGCCUGACAAGAACACGCGGACCUAACCACAAACUAUCAUACAACACACACAGGCUCUCUCUCUCUCACACACACACACACACACACAAACACACAAUGGCCGGUUGUUCCCAUGGUGACUAUGUUCUAGUGAGUGGGAUUUUCCAGGCGGCGUCCGGAACAGUGGACACUCCAGAGGUUGUCCUGGAAGUCUGCUUUGAUCCAAGUGGGCAAAUCAACCCAAAUCUGGGACAAUUCCUGACACACACACACACACACACACACACACACACACACACACACACACUUGCCCUCAAUGGCCUUUUUCAUCUGACCAACAGAACGACAAUUGCUGGACCCUUGAUGAUAAAAAUGAUGAGGUGAUUUCUCUGUUAAUAACUUAACACUUUUAACAAGUCGUCUGAUUUAUUGUGGUUGUAGUAAAAUAUCACAGGCAGCAUUAACUCUUAAACCUACAUAAAAUAAAGGUGUCUGACAUGGCGAUGACCAAAAAAUGUCUAUAAAAGUCACCUAAUUGUUCAGGGUUCAAGCCUCACCACUGGUCCUCUUGGAGACAGAACAAUCACACACAAAGCAGAGCUGCUUGUAGUUGUCUUUACGAUGUCCUCAGAGAAAGGGUGGACUAGACACUACUUAUAAAGCCUCUGUCUCUCAGGCUGACUCAGACACCAGAUUUUACAGAGCUGGCACUGCUUCACAUGUAUGUGUGUGUUUGAGAGUGAAAGUGUGUGUGACUGCGAAGACGUAAUGAAAGUUAGCAUGUUUUUACCUCUUCCUACUGACACAUUUAUUGUCUGUCUGAAAUCUGCGCCGAAAACUCAGACACGCAAGUCCAGCUGAAGUUCUCACCACACAAAUUUACAGUAUAGAAGACUGAGAGGGGAUGACACACACACACAGACACAAUUGUUGAAAGGCAAAGUUUAUUCUUGAGCAAAUCUUACAGUCAUGUUUUGAAAAUAAAACACAGGAGCGAUACCAUUACAAAGAUAUAAAUAAGCACAGGAGACAGACAACAAAUGACACACAAUAAGUGUAGACAAGUUAGCAAUCGUCAAUGUGGAGAGGUUGUUUCUACAUAGUUACAAAAGUUCAAUUUCAAAUGGCCUUAGUGUGUUAUUUUUAAGUGUAACUUUGUCGUUAUCUGCCAACUAACAAUUGUUCAUGGUAAUAAUUUAAUGUUCUUGCCUCAAGAGUCACAAAAAGUUUAUUUUGGAGUUGCAACAUAUCUGCAUACCACAAAAUCUUGUUCUCGAAAUCAUGGUUUUAAUAUGACAGUUAUAAUUUUGGAGCGAGUUUUAUCCAUUUAGUUGGUCAGAAAGUCUCUGCGCUCCUGCCUUUCAUCAGCAUAACUAAAUAAAUUGUAAAUGAUUGCCCAACUUCCACUUAAUUUAUCACACAUUAUUCAUCUGUCAUUUUCAUUUUUGCCAGCUGGACAGCUGUAACUGUCUGCGUUUGUGCAUGGGAGGGGUGUGUUCAUAUUACCGUACUGGACUGGCACAGAUCUCUUGUGUGUCAUAACCCCACUUUCACUGUGAGGGGAAAUUUCCUGUAACUUAAUCCUCAAACACAGGCUCGGUGUCUGGGUAAUGUUUUCGAAAAGUCACAAUUUAGGAACUCUGUCAGACACAGCGUGAAUAUCUGAAAAUAAAAAUGUCAACGAAGAGGUCGGAUCUAUCUUUGUCUGUCUGGAGGAGAUCUCACCAUCUCUCUCUCUCUCUCUUUUUUUCUUUGCGUACGAGAACACAGAUUCUUCUCAUUCUCCACAUGGUCAUUUCCUCUCUACUGAUUGACGUGUCCUGUUGAGGAAACAAAAUAGAGCUAGUUAACACACUCACCUGGAGGGAUAGAGUAUCACAGGCACAGAAAUACACACACAGGUCAGGAGUGGGGUCACUGAGAGAGAGAGCUUCCUUUUGCAGCUGAGAGAGUUGAAUCUCAAAAGAGCAAAGAAGAGAAACUAACAUUGCUACUGCAUUUACACUUUUCUAUUCAUAUGAAAUCCUCCUGAAAUAAGUUACAUUUGAAAGAAGGAAGAAUCCAGGGAACAGAAAAAAAACACUCAACCUCCUGUGAGGGGAUUUUUGCUUCCCCACCCACUUCCUAAGUGUUGUCCCAAUCUGAGAACAUAACUGUGAGUGCUUGUGUGUGACACAGAUUUGUACAGAAGAUGGUAAGACAAAAAUCUUUCCAUAGGUCGAAUAUUUAUUUCAUUGAAGUUCACUUCUUAGACCAUUUAAUGUAGGAUCAGCUGUCUUUGAGAGUGCAAAUAAGACAGUAAUGCUGCGUUCGAGUUACCUCGGAGGUCAGAAGUCUGAGCUGAAAAUGACGUCACACUGGAGUUACCGGCGUUUCAGUUACCAAGUCCGAAAAAAACAAAUUCUGAGGCUGAAACAAGAUGGCUACAUCUACAAAAGUUAUUUUAAGUUAUCUACGAAAGUUAUUUUACCUUACAUUCGGACAAGGCAAGCGCUAAAAUAACUUUCGUAGAUGUAGCCAUCUUGUUUCAGGCCUCCAAUUUUGCUUUUUAUUGACUUGGUAGCUGAAAAAGUGGGAACUUGGAUGUGACGUCAAUUUUUUUAGCUCCGACAUCUGACUUCCGAGGUAACUCAAACUCAGCAUAAGGUCCUGGUGCAGUUUAGGAGAAUGUCUGCUGAUGCAGGAUUUUAUGCUCUGGACCUUUGAAGUCGGAUGUCGGAACUGGCUAGACGUUACAGCCGAGUUGACGGUGUUCCAGUUAACAAGUCGGAAAACCGAGAUGGACGCCUACAGUAACCCUUUGUUAGCUGUUGUUUACAAUUGUUAGCUGUCGUUAGCCGUUGUUGUUCGCUAAACCAGUUGUAAACAACGUAUAAUUCAGUAUUUUACUCUUACAAACACCAUAGCACCGUGUUCAUAGUUCGAUGUUGAGCAGUACAACAUAUCUCACUUGUUUAAUUUCAGGAAAACAAAACAGAAGUGCUAAUAAAUUAUACAUUAGGAGAGCUUUCACUGUUACUCUUUACUGUUGAUGCACUGUGCUGCCAUCUUGGAUUAUGACGUUGUCGCCAAGUCGGGGUUGGUGAGGAUCAUCCGACUUUCCGAGUGGGAAAUCUGACUACAAGGGGGCGUUCCAGAUGAAUUUCUGACUGGGAGCUCAGAGAUUCCGACUUCCAAGUACAACUGGAACGCGGCACAAGUGCACCUUUACAAUCCUGUAUAAUGAUCUAAUCAGUAUCAAGUGGAGUUAACUGAUUUAGUAAGACUUCACACCAUGUUUUUGUUGUUACAAGUACCAGUAAUCAACCCAAACUGAAGUAUUUUUGACAAGAGAAGUUGUGAUGCUCAAACUACAUCAAACUGAAACAGGUUCACAAGGUUAAUUAUGUGAUUUUAUUGUUCCCAUGACAACAAAGAUUUAAUAAGAAGUGCAGUUGGCCACCUGGCUUAUUCAUUUGCUUAAUUGGGACACAGUGUUGUUAGAGCAAUCAUCUGGGGGUCAGGUGAUGCGUUUCUUCAUAAUUAUUUUCCUGUCAUUUUUGCCUUAAUUGGAUAAGUGAGCUGAAAAUAGACAGAACACACAGAGAAGAGAAAGCUGAUGACAUGAAGGAAAGGGGAGCGGCUAAAAUUUGCCCCCAAAUCCAAUAUAUUUCGAAAAGUAGGCCUAUACAGUUUCCCAGUUUAGCUCAUGUAGGAAGAAAGAAACGUUUCACAAGAUUCUGGAAUAUCAUAAAAGUUUCUAACAAGUUUCUAACUGCAGCACUGAUUUGAACCAAUAAGUCAGAAUCAAUUUAAUAUGAACAAGUUAUUAGAUUAGUUCAAAGUUCAGAUCAUGUUGUGGUCACGUUCAGGAAAUGACCUGUCCAGUCUGUUAAUGUAAGAGGAGACAGAGCCUGAGGGCACCUUAUCAGAGCCAUCAACAGGUGGGCUCUUACUUUAUAGAUGCAAACACACACACACACACACACACACACACACACACACACACACACACACACACACACACACACACACACACAUGCAUGCAUGUAGAUGCACAUAUAAGUGAAACCUCUGCACAAACGCCCCCAGGUGAAAUACCUGAGAGCCAUGGACCACAAUCCCUGCCCCCAUCAAACACACACACACACACACACACACACACACACACACACACACACACACACACACACACACACACAGAUUCACUCUUUCUUUCAAACACACACUCCGCUUCAGUCUCGCAUACCUCAGAGUAAAGCGAGCAUAUCGGAGCACUUGCAGCGCACCCCACAGCCUACCCUCCCAUUUAAUCUGAUUUCACAUUCAGAAAAUACAGGAUCCCACGCAUGCCACACAAGCAUACUACAUACACUCCAAGCACAGACACAGACACACAGCUAGAGAGACAGGAGACUGCAGGGCGUGUAGACUUUCUGCUCUGAAGUCUUGUGUAAAUACCUGGACGUAAUCUCCCAGCUUAGAUGAAUCCAGAUGAAUCAGAACCUGCUCUCACAGUUUCCCUUACAGUCUGCUUCACAUCACCGUGUGAACUCUUCUUGGCCACACUGAAGUCCGCAGCUCGCUAAUAGGAACCUGGCAGCUCAGUUGUGAUUCUGCGAGUGAAUGUGAGCUUUCUGCGUCGAGCAUGAUUGUUACAUGAUUGCUGCUUCUUCUGUGUAACCUGACCCUCCAAAGAACUUGUGUGGAGUAUCCAGAAGCCAUGAUUUUGAUAAAAGCCUUUUCAAGCUCUCCGUGGCCCGACUCCAGGCUGCCAGUUCACUAAAAGUAUCCUGCAGGGGCAGAUUUCAGGUCAACUGAGAACAGACCGAGGUGCAUGCUCUUAGGAGUUAAAAAUUGCUUCAUCAGAGACCUUGUUGUCCUGUCCUGUCUUUUUUGCUACCUCCACCAAGGAGGUUAUGUUUUCGGUAGCGUUGGUUUGUUCGUUUGUUUGUCUGUUUGUCUGUUAGCAACUUUACGGAGAAAGUUACAGACGGAUUGACCUGAAAUUUUCACCAGAGGUGUGUCUCAGCCCCAUUAAAUUUUGGUGGUGAUCCGGACAAAAUUCUGGAUACUGUGAUCCAGAACACACAAAAAAAAGGGUUGUUGGAAUUGUCAAUGCUGAAAGAUAACCAAUGGGCGGCACAGUGGUGUAGUGGUUAGCACUGUCGCCUCACAACCAGAACAUCCUGGGUUGGAAUCCUGGUCAGGGCAUUUCUAGUUUUAGGAACAUUAUAAACAGUGAACAAACCAGUUUAAACACAAAUAAACGUUAAUAAAAGACACGUAACAGUAAAAGUUUUGGUGUGAAUCACAAUAUAAGAGGGGACAUGAGCUGCUUGGCGGAGGUCUGCGCUCUCCGAGUGCUUUUCUAAUUUGUUUUGUUUUUCCUUUUUUUUUGUCUUUUACCUCUACUUAUUCACCUGUAAAAAAACAGCUGCAGCUCAUAUGCUAUAGAGUAGGGCUGGGCGAUAAACAGAAAAUUUACCGAUACUAAAUUUCACGACAAUAACCGACGUCAUUAUGCCCAUGUCAAUAUUUUCGGUGUAAAAUAAAUGAAUAAAUAAAAGUUGGUUUUGGAGACGUGACUCCACCCCAUCCAGUCAGUAACAAGGAGGGAAAGACAGGUGAGGAGAUGGAGGACGGUUCAAAAGUUGUAGCAGCUGAAGUAGAUGAAGUUAAUGUGGGAGGGGGUGAGCAGCUUGUGGAGUAGUUAUCAUCUGUUUAUCAUUAUUGAGGUGAACUGCUCAGUAUAUCGUGAUAUUGAUUUGAGGCCAUAUUGCCCAGCCCUACUGUAGAGUCAAGAACUGUAACAUGAACAGUUUUUUUUCUUGAUUAAGAGAAAGUGGAAAUGCUUGCAGGACUUUGGCUGCCAGCUGAUGUUUAAACAUCUCAGCUGCACAUUCAGUCUUUACACUCAAAAUGUUAAUGAGCGCAGCAUUGUAUUUAAGAAUCUGUAAACCGGCUGCUACAGCUGUGAUAAUUAGUAAACACAUUAAAGAACCUACAAGACUUUAAAGUUGAGCUACUCUCAACACUUUGUGUGUAUUGUAGCAGAGACCUUUGUAUCCUGAACUGCUGCUGUGCCGCAAGAUGAAUUUGAACUUUUUCUGCAUUCGUUCUCAGUCAAGUGUGAUCACAGCCUCGUUCUGGUUCUGCACCCAAGAUUUCCCGUCAGUGAUGCUUACAGCACAUUAUCUUAGAUUGUAGAUCAUCUAUCACUUGUACAAUAAGAGCAAUCACAUAUCAGAAGAGCAAUCCCCAAUCAAAGAUUUCCUCGAAAUCAGUCAGAGAAAGCAGAAAAAGGUCCUCCCUAAUCCUCCACGAUCUCGGUCAGAUUACUUUUUGUGAUUGUCAUGACUGUAUUUAGAAUGCAGCCCUCAGUGCUGGUGAGUGAAAGUGCUGUUUUCCAGCUCCACACCCUGUGAGAAAAAACCCUGUUUCCCUCUCUCUUCUGAAUGGAAAGUGAUUUUACAUUCUUUCCUCAGACAAGAGGAUAGAAGGGGGAGCCGCAAAGAGGAAAAGAUACUCUAAUGGCAGUAUCAGAGCACAGUAAUGAUAGAUGCAGGUUUCAAGUCUGAUCCAUGGGGAAACAUAUGCGGGGCAUGAUGGGAUUGAUAGAACUAUUAAGGCAUGCUUUGCUGCUAUUGCUCCUGUGCUGCUGCUGCUGAUGAGGCUGCUGAUUGACGGCCCGGCCUGGAGCAGCCUGGUGAGGUCAGGUUUCGGGGAUGAGAUCCAUUUACCUUCAUUUACAUAUCAAUCUAGCAAAGUGGAGAGCGGGGUUAUGUAGGAAUUGUCAUUUUGGAGUGUCAUGUGAGUGUAUUCCCGGAUUUGUGUCCUCUAUAUGAAGGAUGUUAAUUUCUGCAGUCAGGUACAAAGGUACAGACUGUGUGUGUUGGAGGGAGGGUGACAGGAAGAGAGAAGAUCUUCCUCCUAACGGAUAUGAUGUUUGACAUUUCAUUUACCGAGCCUGACCGGUGAGGUUAAUAAUGCUACAAAAAGCAAUCAGGGCUAUCUGCUCAUACAUAGCACACGCGCAGGUACAACACAUGCGUGUACACACACAUACACACACACACUCAACGUAAUGCAUUCCAGUCAUGUCAACCUAGUUAAGUGGUCCUAAAUAAGAUGUCAUUUUAUACCAGGAAUUUUAACCGUCUACAAAUCUCAUUCCCCAAAAAAGUAACACACACACACACACACACACACACACACACACACACACACACACACACACACACACACACACACACACACACACACACACACACAUAUAUUCUCGACACUGAAGAUAUAUGGCAGGUCUGCUGUGUGGGGCUGAUGGUUUGGACCCCUUCACUUAAGAUAUAUUUGUCAAAUAUUUGAGUGGCACUUUCCAAGUUCAACAACCACAGCCACCAUGAACAUGCCUGAGUUACCACAAGGGCUGUUCCUGGUUCAGGGUUUUUCACAGUGGGCACUGGCAUGAAUGGGGGAUGGGUGUAGUCUCUUUCUCUAUGGUCGGGCACUGUAGUUAUUAUUGAUGGAUUUUUAUUAUAAUAUCAAAGAUGAAUGUGAAACAUUCUCUCUUCUGCCCCGUCAGUACUGUAGCACAAAAGCUCAGGAGGUAACCUCUCAAAUCACUUUAACUGAUUUUUGCUGUUACUUUUUAAACUCUGUAGCUGUAAUGGUUUUUCAAACAGAACUUAUUGCCUCAUAUUGACUUUGAUUACAAUAUAAAUAUUGCAGCUUUCCCACUACCUUUAAAAAAGUCGCUUGAGGCAGAGAAUUGGUCCUGUAAAUUUGUGUGACACGCCACUGCUGAUUCAUAGAAGCACCCACAGUUCAUCGAGGUUUUGGAGCUUUAAUAACACAAAAACGCUUCUACAGUGGCCAAUGAUUUACAUGCGCCCUAAGAUGUAAUAUGUGUACACUUUGCAAUGUACAACGCAACGCAAACAAAGAACAUAAACGCAGUCAACAAAAAAUACGGCUACCUAGAAUCACCUCUCCAUCCCAGAGCAGGUGAAACAGCCCCUCAUAUAACCCCUGGGCUUUCAAACACAGUGCCCAUGUGACCCGAAACUCAGCGAAACCAAUGGCAACCAGACAGAGGAGCUGUGGACAAACUUUAGAAAUUUAUUACACAGUAUAUAAAUUUUUCUCUCGUCUGCUUGUGAUGUUGACAUAUAGUUAGUGUAAGACUCGUCUGUGCUCAAGUCCUCUUUUUUUCUGUACAGCUCAAUUUUUAAAAGUUAUUAGGAGGUUCAUGUUUUCUAUGAUUGACACUUGAUACAGCCUAUGGGUGUACGAAGAUUUAGUAGCUCACCUGAGGGAUACGCUUUUUGAGCCAAGCGUCGUCAUCUCUGCGACUCUCCCGCCGAAUGCGUACAACGCUACUGCGCAAUGUCAGUUUCAGGAAGUAGAGAAAAAUCACGGAAAUACUGAGAGAUUUUUGGCUUCAAAUCCGUAUACUGGCGGAAGGCGGAACCAAGUUGUCCAUAGUAUAUACAGUCUAUGUCUGCACUGUUUUGAUUGAAUCAUGACCUACAUCAAUAGAGGUUUUAUCACAAUGGGGCUAAUUUACGUUAUAUUUGCAAACACAAGCAUUUGCACUGCCCUUUUUGAAGCAUUGCCGUACUUCACACUGCAGUCUCUUUUUUCUAAACUAAACCACUUCUGUAGCAGGUAGUUCUGAUUUGGAUAAUUUAGUGAAAAUUCUCGACUGCAAUGUUCACACUCACAUGAGCCUGCAACAGUCCGUGUUCAAAGAGACGACUUAUAUGUUUGGACAAAUUGUUCCUGCUUGAUGACUCAAAUCAUCCACUUUCAGAGAGAGAGAGAGAGAGAGGAAGAGAGGGUUAAAUUCUGUGUUUCACUAUAGCACACACACACACAAACACACAUUCAUGCAUACCUACACACUUAAGUUGAUCAGCUCUGUGUGUGGUAGAUGUAAUCUCGUGUGAGUGGUGCGCCAGGCCAGUAUAAACAGGAGGAUCUCUUGUUGUUACAGUGUAAUGAGGGUGAUGAUCAACAGGUGGAGAUAAUGGAGCUGGGUGUCUUUGAGCCGAGGCACACACACACACACACACACACACACACACACACACACACACAUGCACACACUUAAAUUAAUAUUUGUGUCUGUUAGUAUUAAAAAAAGACCCUGAAGUGUUAAACUUAUCAGAGCAAAAGAUGAGAAAGUGAUUAUGUUGAGGCUUAAAGGAGUAAGAGGUUUGGGGAAGGAGGAGUUGGGGGUGGUGGUUGGGAGCUUGAGACCCUCAUGGUUUUUAAAAGUAAUGGUGGAAGGAGGGUUGCAGGUGGAAUGUAUUGCCUGUGUGUGUUUGUACUCUGCACUACUUAUGCACUUGAUUUUGGUGGUUAAAAUGGACUUAUUCCAGAUUGUGCAUAUGUGUGUUCACAUAUGAGUUGAAGAGCCAGGGAGUUUACUCUUGACAGGUUUUCUAUUUCAACCACAGAUAGAAACAUAGUCAUAAACCUCUGGACCUGAAGGAGGGAAUGAUUGACAAAGGGGAUUUUUGGAUGAGGAGUUAAAGAGAAAAUGAUUGUACUCAGAACCAAAUCUAUCAUUUUUAACAUAAAAAUGGAAAACAAGAUGGGAGGAUAUGAGCAGUCUUAAGUUUAAAUGCUUAAGAUUUACAAAGAAAGCAAAGGGUGAAACGGGGACAGGUUUUGGACAGUUAGCUUCUCGAUGAGGCAAAUCCUUCUAAGACUUCAAACAGUUUUUCCUGAAAUCUCACAACUUCUCAUCCACCCAUCUGUCUGACUGUCCAUCUAUCUGCCCGUCGAUCCAUUAGUCUUGAAAUGUUUAUGGCAUUGAAGUUGGCCAUUUUGAAACUCUAGUUGGCACAGUAUAGUAGAAAUGAAUGUUUGGAGGUGGAUUCUGCCAAAAUUUGAUUACGACUACGAAUUAUGCAUUAGCUGCCCCCCUACCAGCUUGGCCUUAAAGGGAUAUUCCUGUGUAAAAUUAAGUUAGGGUCAAACACACCGUAACACCGAGUUAGACACCCUGUUGAGAGAUGAAUGUUGCUGACUGCUUACUUCUCUAGUUAUACCGACUUUAGUAACGACCGCAGGAUAGCAGUACACAGCGGUCUCGGGAGCCACGCACGAACCAAAAAGCCACUCUAUGGCCACAAAUAAUGCUCAGAACUUCAUCAACAAUACAUAUAGGGUCCUAUCCACAGCACUAGCCACCAAACAUCUUUUACCUUUGCCUCAUUUCUUUAGCAAAGAGACUAAACACAACUCACCUACCCUCUUCCAGCAGCUGCUUGUUUGUACGGAGACUUCGGGCAAGUCCAUCAUGACUAAAGCGGGGUGACGCAGCUCAUAAUCAUCACCACAUUAAUCAUUUUGCACUGCAGAAAUGAUCAUAAAUGUUCUUCCUUGAGCUGCGUCACCCCGCUGCAGUCACUGAUGGACUCGUCCAAACAAAUAAGCGGCUGCUGGAAGAGAGUGGGUGAGUGUGUAUUGCUAUAGUACGGUCGUUACUAAAGUUGGUAUAACUAGAGAAGCAAGCGCUCGGCAACAUUCAUCUCUCGACGGGGUGUCUUACUCAGUGUGAUGGUGUGUUUGACCCUAAUUUAAUUUUACGCUGGAAUAUCCCUUUAAUAUCCAAUUUGCAAAGUUCACUAUCUUGACAUUUAACGCACACCUGGCUAUGAAGUUCUGCAGUUUGCUUUUCUGUCGUAUCUUUUUGUGGACAUGAGAUAUUAUCAUCUCAUGUGCAAAGCUGCACUUUAUUCUGACAGAGCUCUAAUCUCUUUACAUGUGAAGUAACUAAGUUGGCAGGGAAGGACUUCAUGUACAGAUAUAUUAUUUUUAAAUCAACCAGAAGAUGAAAUGUUGUCAUGAUCUCUGAAAAGCUAUGAAUGCUGCAGUACGGUUAACACCAGCUGUCAGCAGGUAGUUGGAGUUUCACACCAGCUGUAAGAAGCUUGUAUUGUAUUGUUUAAAGUAAUGAGGUUCAUUUGCAUAAAAGGCAUUCUUGAACACAUAAUGGCCCAUCAAGUAUCACCUCUUCAUCCUCCUUAAUGUUGGACUUGCAAAGGUAAAUGUUCAAUUUGAUCUAGCAGCAACAAACACCUUAUUUUUGUGAUGCUAAUGUAGGUGUAAGAAAGUUGCUCACCCAGGUACUCAUAUGCAGGUUUUUUGUGAAGCUUUAUUCAGUCUUGACUGUAUACAUAACUGUAUACAAUCUUUUUGUUUUGUUUCUGUUUUUGUUUCUAAAUUUUUGCAAAAAGGAAUAAAAAAAGAUUUCAGCCUGCACCAAAGCGGUGAAGCGACAAGAGAUUGUUGUUGCUAUCCGGAUAGCAAUGCUGCAAACUUCACGCAAAAUAUCUUUUAUCUUUGAAUUUCCAACAGGACCAACUUACCCCAAAAGAAAAUAUUAUAUGAAGCAAUAGCCAAAAGCAUGAAACAAAUCUGUAUGAUAAAAUAUUUGGUGGUUUGUCUGGAUAAACUAACUGGGUUGCCCACAGAUGAAGUUUCGUUUGAAGUGUUCAAGGCACGUUGACUUCUAGCAUUGAUGGAGGCCUGUUUUAUCUGCUGAGGCAGAGCAACAGAUACCCGUGUAAUCAAAUCUGCUACGCCAGGGGCGCAUUUGAGAGCCAAAACCCUCUACAAGCCAAAUUUAUACAAAUGGGCCUCUUUUGUUCACAGGAUACAAUACAGCUGCUCAAUUUACUGCUGCACUCCGAACGGAUGCAGCGAGGUGAAACGCACUCACACACACACACUCACAUAGACACACAUACACACAAAAGUAUUUCUGUGUUCUUUGAAUUUUAUUCUCUCCUUCGUUUCUCAUUACACACACGCACACUCAGCCGGGGCAAAUUUUAUCUAAGUUGUGCUGAUCAAACCUCUGGCUGAUGGUGGAGAUAGCAAGGGUGGAGGAGGUAAAUCGAUGGCUGCGUCGAGAAGCCGUGUUCCCUAUUAAAGAAAAGGCUGACACAUGCAGCGGGCCUCCCCUGCUAACUGACAGCUGUAAAGAUGAACAAUGAGACUAUCCUGCUUCAUAAAAUGGGAAGACCUAGCUUUUUUGGAACUUGCGUCUGGGGUUUGAACCACAUUUAUUAUUUCUGUCACGAAAGGCUGUGUGUAAAUGUGUGUAUUUUGUGAGGAGUUUGCCUUUAUAGAUGAAUACAACCGAGAGCUCUUUAUUAGGACAGUAAAUAGAUGGUUUUUUAUGGAGGUUUCAUCCAGAAGGGGCAAGGGACGGGGCAGCUUGAAACAAAAAUGAAGGGGCCGAAGGUCCUUAAAGGUUGGGUAGGAAGGAUCUGAGGAAGUGCCAGUUUUUUUGAGAAAUCUUGAAUGUAAACACUAAACCCAUCCCAACCAGUUUGACGUGAAAGUCAAAAGCAUUGGUGCUACAGUAGAUGCCAACAGACUACCAGCAAACACAAUGUUUGCAGGACUUCUACAACUAGGAUAAAGUGACAUAGUCCAGGAGCCGAGGGAGGACAGUUUAGCGGCGCUACAACACGCAGCAGGUCCGUUUGACAAGAAACACUUCUGUUACAGACACUUGUCUUACUUUGUUAAAGCGGUUUACCUGUCCAGCAAAAAGGUUACAGGUCCUGAAGCGUCCCCCAUCAACCCAGCUUUUUAGCUCUUGUCCGGUCUACCUCCUUUUUAAGCGCCCGUUAUUCCUCCAGAGUCUCCGGUGUUUACUUUGUUUCCUUGCUUGUGUCGGCAGACGUGGCCAAAGGAGGAUUCAGAUAAUUUUCCGAACUUUCUUGUUGGUUUCUACUGCCCGAUAAUGUAGCACGCUAACUUUGUUUGGGCUCAUGAACGGGGGAGCAGCAUCUGCCUCACAACCAAUCAGGUUGAGGGAGGAGGAAAAUGGCUUUCUGACUACACAGAUGUAAAAAAACACAGCAAUAUCGAUAUAUUACCAAAUGUCAUCAAUAUCUAAUAACUAUCGACUGAUAUUAAAAGCUUUUUUGUUUAUACACCACAAAAAAAGAUGCCUCUUUAACAGAAUCCUGCCUACCCCACCUUUAAGUGCACGUAAACACCACCUCAAAAGGUAGCACAUGCACGCUAAACUGGAGCAAAGGCCUGACUUGCUUUCCCCCAGAAGUAAAGGGUGGCUUUAUUCCGAGCCAUGCAGGGAGCCGAUUCAUGGAGUUCCCCUUUUUCUCUUUGCAGUUGUAUUGUCAGAGCCUUUUGCUCGAGGCGCUUUGUAGAGCCAUGAAGUCAGGCCUACAGCCACUAUCUACAAGUGUCCUACCCUUUCCUUCCUUUCUCCCCUCGCUCUCCUUGUCACUAGUUAUCGCCGUCAAAGUCCAGCUGCACUGUUUAUGCUGGGAGCUGUCACAGAGAUGUGUCACCGCCGUGUGAUGCUUCACACGCUUGGUGACAAAACAGUCAGUCACGAUUCACACAUGCGGCAACAAUAAAUCUUUUCCGCACACACAAACACACAAACAUUACACACUUUAUCUUCUACCUGUGGAGAUAUCUUCUUCCCUUAGAUUCAUUUUUAUUUAACCAGACAGACCAGAAAUCAAUUCAAGUUCAACUUUUUUUCUGCUUUCCAGGAACAGGUUUGACAGGCGAAGGGAAAAAGAAACUGUGCGUUACAGCCGCACUUGAUUGCUCUUGUCUGCUCGUACUUAGUGAAAACUUUGCUAUUUGUUAAUGAAUGUUUGGCAGGCUUGCCACUAGCAGCUUGUAGUUGCAGCUUUGUCAUAAGCCGUCGCUUGUGGCAUUUCCACAAGCCGACUCCAUGUGCUAUUUCUAGCAGCUGCAGCAACGUGAAGAAAGACAGCGAAUGAAUGUGAGUAGAAAGGACAGAGCGAAUUAUGAGACUCUCCCAGCGCCAGUGUUAACAUUUGGAUGUUCUUACUAAUGAAGUAAUCUUAUGCUUUAUUACAUCUGAGAUCAGAUAUAACUCUCAUGCUUUCACUUCUGCUUUCUUUCCUUCUUUUUCGUGUCUGGGAAAAUAAUAUUCUCCACAUUUGGAUUUAAACUGUUUUUAAAGGUCUUCUAAUGUGCCAGAGUGGAUAAAUACAUAUAAUAAAAGUGAUGUGAUUGAUCAGUUUGUGAGUGGUGAGCUGCGAAGGAGAAGACCUCUGGGGCUUACAUCAGCUCGCUGGCCACUCCUUUCAUACCAUAACCAGUCAAUAAAGAUCUUUGUAAGCUGUUAACGUUUGAGGAUAAAUGUAGUUUUCCUUUAAGCCAGGCAAAUAUUUGACAUCAGAAACAGAAAGAGGUUCCAGUGACAAGAUUUGUUUUACAUUAUACACUUGACCACAGCUCCAAGUGAAGACAGGCUGGGACGGAGGUGAUGGAAAGUGGGCUUCUUCACAUCCUCUUCUCCUCGACUUGCUGCCAGGUUUUAAACUUGUCUGUGCUCAUCUUCCAGAUGUUUUAAAGCUGGACACCUCGUGGUGCUUUAAUACCCUUAGAUCCAAAUUCUCAUGCUUGGAGCUUUUGUUUGAGGUGUAUCCAUAUGUUUUGUUGGAGACCUUUGACUGGAAUCGCUACAAAAACAUGCUGAAAGUAACAUCUUUCCACAGGGCUGAUAGAGACAGAGCUCUGCCUUUUGAACAUCUUAAUUUGAUUGAACUCAUUUGAACCUUAUUUUCUGAAAUGUGCUGUCUCUCUUCUCUCUUUGCAUCUUAUUUAGAUGCAUGAAGACAAGCUUACAAAAAUUUCGUCUGUUUCUUUCCAUCUUUUUUUCCCUCAAUCGUGGCAUUUUAUGGUGCAAAUCUGGAAACAAUGAACCUCAGCCUAGGAACCAGGCGAAGCUCGAUUGACUCGGACAGAUGCAUCUUCCCCUUUUCCAUUCAAAUGCUUUUCUAUCUGGUCUAAUUCAGGUCAGGCCAAUCACAGCUGUUCAUAUCCCACUGUAUGAGCUUUGUUGUGUGUUUUCUUUACCUUGGAUUCUGGGCGCUGGAGGGUUACAUCAGACAAGUGGACUGUGUUUCAUUUCAACUUUGGAAGGUGUUCAGCCCUUAGCUUUCAUUGUUGUUUGCUUUGUUAGCUAAUGCCAAACGAUAACAAUGAACUACUUCAUAGUUUGUGCACAAAUGCAACAUGACAAAAGUCCACGGAUAGAUGUUGCGCAAUACUAUCGGUAUGUUUGAUUUAGUGCCACAAAAUAAGACUGAGUUGCUCAUAAACAUGCACAAGGUACGAUGCAGCCAUCUUGGGUUUUGAGUUCAGGGUUACUUAAGUUCCUCUGGUUUUCAGCGUAGGAGAACAGACUUCAAGGGGUGUCCCAGACGACUUUUCAAACUACCGAGAUCAAAUAGAAAUCACACUUGCAGCAGCACUGGCAGCUAAGAUGGCUGCUGUUGAUGUGUGGUUCUAAUCCCCUCAUCUUGCCAGUACUGAACAACUGGAUCGCAAUGAAUGAUGCACAGCAGUGACUGUUGCUGGCCAUGAAUGACCUAAAUGAAGUAGAAACCAUCAUUAACAGAAGUUAGAUCCAUGUCUCCGAUUCUUCCUUGUUUGUUUUUUAUGGUAUCUAACGGCAUAUUGAUUGUUAUGAAAUCAAACUUUUUUGUGUGUUUGGUCUUGUGAUACCAGACUAGAUGACCCUUGUUUCCACUGUAAUCAGGCCACUAAAAUAACCUGCCUUUGUCGGUUAUUAUCUCCAGCCUCAGUUAGAAAAACCUGUCUUCGUUUUUAGACAUAAAAAAAAAAGUUCAAGAUGAAAAAAGGGAGGAGAAAAAAGAAAACAGCACACAGUCAGUCAUUGGCUGCGUCAAAAGCAGAAGAAGCCAGCUGCAACAGAAAGAAACACUUAUGCACGCAAACAUGCACUCAGGCAAACCCUAAAAUGGCCUGAGUGAAUUGAGGUAAUACUCGAGAAGAAUUGAUGUGGUCGAGUCUGAUGGGGAUUUCAUAUGUGUGUGUAUAACUCAGAUAAUGAGCCAGCUGUUAAACUGUUACAAUGACCAGAUUCAUACACACACUUACACGGACACUAGGUCUGCCAAGAGUUAAACUAUAACAGAGACAACAUGUGCAAUAAGGCUCCAUUAAAUCAAAGAAUGCAGCUUUAAAGGAGUAUUAAACAUACCUUGUCUGUUUUAUUUCAAUCCCACAUUGUCAUGUGUCAGACUGACGUGUGUGUCUGUGUACUUGAGUAUGAUGUGAGUGGCGUCCUGAGUAUGAUAGUUGGUGAAUGUUUUCUGAUAUGCAUUUGCAGACUUUGAAGCAAAACACUGAAAUAACUUCAUAAGUGUGUGAGUGUGUGAGCGAGUGUGUGUUUGGCGUCUGCUCUCAGUUGCAUUUCAUUCCAGCCUAAUGCCUCUGAACUUGUUGGGUGUUCUCAUAUUUUCAGCUUUUUUUCUGUGUGCACACCCUUGGUCAUAUUUCAUCCUCUGUUGUGUGCACGUUUGGUGUGUGUGUGUGAGUACAUGAAUGCUCGCAGAAUGUGGCGCUGUGCCUGCAGCCGCUCCACUCUGAGGUUGUUUCUCUGCCUGCAGGUCUGCAUCUAGUUAGUGUGGUGCAGAGUGUUAAAGCGAUCAUUAACCUCAAACCAAACAACAACAACACAAUCCACCACGACACCACAAGUCCUCUGUCUGCUGGCACAGCACACUUCACACACCCUUUCAAAUGUCAGCCUGAUCAAAGGCAGACAUGAGAAAUGUUUAAAGGGCGGGGAAAGGCGCUGACGGGGCGCAUAUGCUCCUAACUUUGAGAGAUUAUGUUUAUAAACCACUAAUUUGCAAAAAUUUGAGAGAGAUUUAAUGCCAAUAAAUGUCACAGAAAGGCAUGUAAUAAAUUUAUCUGGCAUGUAAAAAAAAAAGAUGAUACUAUUCAUACCAGCUGAAUAUCCAGAGACAGUGUAUUUCAUUUGUUUUCCUAAUUUUUCCACUUGUGUUAUUCAUCUCAGGAGCAGUGAUACCAUCAGAUGACAUCAUCAUCUAAUUUGCAUAAUGUCUCAGUCAAACCCGGCUACCCAUUGAGAAGUGUAUCAUCAAUACCUGCUUUCAUGUUAGAGUUUCUAAAGUCCAGAAAAAGUCGCUAGAUUUAUCACUAGGCGCUUUUUUGAAAAUAAGUUGCGAGGGGGGUCUGAAAAGUCGCUAAACCUAUCUAGGUUGGCAACUUUGCUAAGGAGCCUCAUUUGUCCACAGAGCUGUCAAUCAUAGCCUAAUAUCCCUUCUAACACAUAUAUGCUUUCUGUCAUUUGACCAACAGGAUCAUAAACAAAAGUCAGUCUUCAAGUGGUAUCACCUGUUGUUCUUCCUUGAGCUGCUUCACCCCGCUACAGUCCGUAAUGGACUGGCCCGAGGUCUCGCUACAAACAAGCGGCUGCUUGAAGAGAGUAGGAGAGUUGUGUUUGGUCUCUUUGAUAAAGAAAUCAGGCAAAGUUAAAAAGAUGUUUGAUGGCUAGUACUAUGGCUGGGACCCUAUAUGUACUGUUGAUGAAGUUAGGUGCUGUUCUGAGCAUUAUUUGUGGCUAUAGAGUGGCGUUUUGGUUGAGCGUGUGGCUCCUGGGACCGCUGUCUAUUGCUAUCGUGUGGUCUCUACUUAAGUUGGUAAAACUAGAGAAGUAAGCGGUCGGCAACAUUCAUCUCUCGAGGGGGUGUCAAACUUGGUGUUAUGAUGUGUUUGACCUUAACUUAAUUUUACGCCGGAAUAUCCCUUUUAAUAUUACUUACUUUCAAUCUCCCAUGAGAAGUUGCGCCAAAUUGACGCAAACUCAAAGUUCUUCUCAAGAGCUUCAACCCAAGUGUAUUUUAACCCUGACCUUAACCAUACUGCUGUGUUUUUGUACCAAAGUCCUGAGGGGUGUAAACCCUCCAUCCCACCUAAUCUUCUUUACACUCAUUCGUUGGGAUUAAUGUUCCCAAUAAAUAAAGUCCAAUAAUACUUCUUGUUUUCUAUGUAAGCAUAAAUCACUAAUGAAUAUCAGUGUAUAGGUGUGACUUCAAGUAGAAAGGGAAAGCCAACAUGUCAAGUCAGGAUGUGGGAAACAAGGUUGUAGAAACACACAAAAACCAGUUUUGUGAGCCAUAGAAGAAGUAUUGUGAUAUCACUUCCCUUCCUAAAUGAGGUUUAAUUCCUUUAUUAAGCAUCAGCAUGCGCCAAGUUGCAAUUAUCACUCCAUGGUGCAGCCAUAACUCUGGAAUACCGCUGCUCUUAUUUUCCAAGCUUGCAAACGGCUCGUCCAAAUACAGGCUCAUCAGUGAGUCAUGAGCGAGGAAAGACUCCCGUCACCCCCUGCCAGCAACAUUCAUAGAAACCGCCAUGAAGGAAAGAGGAGAUUUAGUUCCUUGAUUUUUGCUGCUGUUAAUUGUGGACGCAGUGUUAAGGACGCACACACUCUGGCAGGGGUUUCCAUAGAGUACUUCAUGUUGUAUCGUCAUAGGGCCAGCCCGAUUCCCUGAUGUCUGCCGUCAUCAGAUUAACCUUUAACCUGGGCGACGGCAGGGUGCGGGUGCCAGGUGGCCAUGCAACACACAACAGCUUCAGGUCAGUUGUAUUUAUGCUUGUAAGUUUGUGUUGAAGGGUUGAAUCAUAGUCCCUUUUUCCCCAGGGUUGUUUCCACUUCUGAGCCCCUCCUCAUCCUCAUGUCUCUCAAACCCUCACCUCUCUCCUCCCUCCUGCCUGCAGUGACUCAUUGCGGUCUGUUAGCACUCACACCCACAAAACCUGGGCUGGAGGAUGGGUUUGGGUGGGUGGGGGUGACGGGGUGCAGUGUGGGGGUCAGCUGGUGGGUAACGGGUGUUUCCCUUUAUAUUCUGGAUGGCUGCACAUGGACCAGCGAGUGUGUCGAGCGACCUCUGGAAGGCUUUUGCAAGGUGUGGACAUUAUGACUGGAUUUAGCUGUAAUGACAGUUUUAGUCCACACCGCUUGCACACACACACACACACACACACACACACACACACACACACACACACACACACACACACACACACACUCACACACAGAAAAACAGCUGCUGGAACACUUAGUGGUGAAGCCAUAUUUGCUGAAAUCACAGUGACAAGCGGUAUUAACCCUAAACGUCAGCGUCAAUUUGACCAAGAAGAGCACAGCACGUUACGCCGCUCAGGCCAAGGUUUGGUUUGGCUGGAUCCCACAGGGAAGGAAACCCUACUCUGCUUUUUAAAUGCGCUGACUUUAAUCAUGUUUUAAAUUUCGUUUUAUUAUGCAUUUAAAGAAGCUUUGUUUCGCUGUGUGUUUUACUGUUACUGCCUGUGAUUUGUCAGGGUUAAUGUGACUUUACUGUAUCUGAUUGUAGAAAUAACUCACCUUUAUGAGACUUGUCUUGUGAUACAGUUGUCUCCGGUGAGAUUUAUAUCUUCUACACAUGUCAGCAUGCCAUCGCAUGGUUCUCAGAUCAUGUCCAUGCAAAGACAGCUGGAUUUGAAAACACAUCCUCAUACCCCAAGGUGGCCUGUACACAAAUUCUUGUAUUUUCCAGGUAGUUUAAUUCAAUGCCAACCGGCAAGCUAAAUACAGUGUUAAGGCUAGAGUUGCAAAAUUCCGGGAAUUUUCAAAGUUGGAAACUUUCCAUGGGAAUUAAUGGGGAAAUAUGGGAAAUAAUGACAAUCAACGGUAACAAAUCUGAAAUUUACAAAACUGAAGGUUGGCCCUCAACAGGGAACUUAAAUAUAGCUGGGUAAAAUAUAUUGUAGCAUAAUCACCCCCUACAUGCACUUUGCAUUCCUCUGUCACAUGCACAGAUGAUUUCUUGAACCCUGGAGGCCGAACUUUUGAGCCCAAAGCACAAGACAUUUGAGUCCACAGACUUUUUAAAGUCAAGUAAGUUUUAAUAUUAUGGGGUAAAUAUAUUUGAUCUAUAAUAGUAUUAAUAUUUAACUUGCAAAAAUUAAAUAAAAAUAGGUGCUAAAUGUAAGCUAUUCUUCAUUUCAUUGACUAUUUAAGGGACUCGUUUAUUAUGAUGGUGGUAUCUACCUCAAAUGUGAUGCUGUUUCUUCAGACUCCUGCAAGACGUUUUUCUAUAACCAUAUAAUAAUUUAUACAUCAAUUGUCAAAUAUCUGAAAGACCAUUCCAGUUGUUUAGCCAACUAUUUUUCUGUUCAUGCCAUUGUUCAUUGCCAUUAUUUGUAUUAUUUUGCAUGGAUGUCUGCUUAUGACAAAACAAAAAUUUUUACAUUUAUGUUUGGAUAUGAUGCAGUUUGUUUAAAUUACCCCCAAUUUCCAGUUAAUUCCCAUAAAUUCCCAAUAAUUGCCAUAUAUUCCCAUAAUUCCCAUAUUUCCCAUGGAAAGUAUUCAAGUUGGAAUAUUUCCAAAAUUCCCAAGCUUAACUUCCCGUGAAAAGUUUCUGGAAAUUUUCCGCCCCUUUGCAACCCUAGUUAAGGCACAGCUAAACAUGGGAUCACAAUGUCUGCAGGCAAACGAACGCGAAAGUCUUAGAGAGAGGGCUAAAGUUAACAGAGCAAGCCGUCAGUCCUUCUUGCAGGGUGAAGUUCACAUGUUUAAGAUGGCUAUGCAUUGCUCCAGUUGAGUGGUUAUACUUCCACUUUACCACAGCUUCCAUGCAACUUGAUCUCCAUUUUCUAGAUCAAAAUACUGUAAACCAUGCUGCGCUGUAUGAUACCACCAGUCAUCAGUACUUGCUACAGCAGGUUUAUAGUAUUAUAGCAGAUACCAGUAACUGGAACAGCAGCCCGGCUAAUGGUAGGGGGCUGCACUAACAGCAUAGACACAACAUAAGACCAGUAGUUAGCUGACUAACUACACACAAUCCUAGGUUUGACUUUAUGUUGAAAUGCUUUAGUUUUGGUGGGGUUGUUGUUGGAACCUAAAUGUAAUCAGGUUCAAUGUAUUCUGCAUCGUUUUAAAAAGAAGUAUUUGUAGGUGAUACAGUCUUUUUUUAUAUGCUAUAGUAUUUCAUCUUUUUCUUAUUUUGGUAUAACUUGUGUUUAUCUGGCAUGGUAGUGUAAAAAUAUGUUCUCCUUUGAUUGCCUUAUCAUAAAUUGAUCCUGCUAGCUUCAUGAUUUGCGCUCUGUUGUCAUAACAUACCAUGUGGGAACCUUUCGGAGGUUACCAGAUUCCUGUGCCUGUUAGUUUUUUGUGGACUAAACUACGAUGUGAUUGUUUCUUUAUGUAUUCAGUAAACUUGCAAAAGAUGAGGUGAUUAAUCUUGAUAAGGCUUCCCUUGUUAAAUGAAAUAAAUAUCCCUCUCUGCGCGUACAUGCAGAUCUUUUCAUAUCAGUGUAAGGCCUCAGGGUGGUAACAGUGGAGCUCAAUUAACACUUACAAAACACCACUUAGCACCAAGCGAAUCAGCCACGGGGAUGUGACACACAUUGCUGGAAAUAGUUCUCCUUACUCUGACUGAUGACACAGUAAUGUGUGUGUGUGUGUGUGAGCUUGUGUGUGUGACUACGGGAGAAUGGAGACUGUCAACACUGCUUUUGUUAACAAACAGCCGGAGGGGACACAUGUGAAGGGGAGAAAUGCUAUGCACAGGUUUUCAACGGCAGGGUUAGAGCUGAAAGAUCUGAUAAUUCAAUCAGACUGUAGACCUCAGUUACAGGUUGGGACAUAUUGUGAAAUGUUGAUUAAAAACAGAAUUUAAUGGUUUGUUAAAAAACAUAUGGAUUUUAAUUGAAAUAGUUUGAGAACAACAGUCAAAUGUUGAGAGAAAUAAAUUCGCAUGUUUCAGAAAAGUUUGGACGGGGACAACAAAACACUGACAAAUAUGAAUAUGCUUAAAAAAAGACACCUGUAGGAACAUCCACGCUACAUGAUAUUAUAAUGUUUAUAGAGCUUGGAGAAAUCUUUGUACAAAAGAGAGAGUAAAAACUUAAAUCAGUGAUCUCUGUGCCUUGAAAACAGACAUUGGUGGAAAUGACAAUCACUCCCCAAAACCAACGUCUGUGAGCAGAGUUUGUUGCUGCUUCAACAUGUAUGUGAAAACUGAACUAUUUAAGGAGAAACCAUUUAUAAACAGGGUCCAGAGACACCAGUAACUGGGCCUGAGCUCAUUAAGGAUGGACUGGAGCAAAAUGGGGAACUGCCGUGUGGUCUGACAAAUCUAAAUUUGGCAUUCCUUUUGGAAAACAUGGAGGCUGCAUCCUCGGCUCUGAGAGGGGAGGGACCUCCUGGCUUUUCAUCAACUCAAAAGUUAGCACCCCUAGAGAUACAUGCAUUUGAUCAGACUUAUUUAAUAUAAUAGAACCUUGAUUACUGUUGGGUUAUUAAAAGCCUUGGCUGACUUACUCAACACACAAGGGAUCUAAGUUGGCUCUGCUCCUGGAGAAUCAGAACAGAUGCUAAGCCAUUAGCGACUACGGAUGUGGUCAACUUUACUGCGUAAUUUAAGAAAUGCAAAGAAAGCCCAACCCAGUGUGUAAGUGAAUGCAACAGUAGGUUCUCUUUCACUUAUAUUAACCCCAACCUGUUACUUCUGCUGCCCCUCACCAUAACUUAAGCUCAAACGGAGACAGGAGACUCUACAGAAACAUGUUUUCAAUGUCAGUGAAACACUAUAUGAGAGGGAAGCACGCUUGAACUCGGCACUGGGACUGACUGUUUAAUUUUCCGCCUUUCACGAUCAUUUCAGAGAUCGUGUUUGCGUGUUUCUCUAAUAAAAAUGCCAAACUGUAUGAUAUCUGACUCGAAUAUUUAAGAUCAGAUUUGAACUAAUAAGAUAAUCCUGGAAAGCCAGCCCUCUGAAAAGAGAAAAGAAAAUAAUGUCACAUUUUUUACCCACUGAGCCAUGACUAGAUCAUCUAGAAUAAAGUGACACAUUUUGCUGAAGUGCCAAGUCUUAGUUGACAUGUAUUCUCUUGUGCCUAAGGUUGAACAAUCUUGUGUGUUUGUCAUGUAUGUGUGUUCAUUGUUUUUAUGUCAGACAAGCUGUUAGCGGCGACAGGGCUACAGUGAGGAAACUGGUACACUAAUACCAUGUGACAAGGGUAUUCAGAGUCGACCCAGCCGCAAACUUUCUCUCCUUUUUCUGUUGUUUUUCACAUCAUUUUCUCCGCCUCUCUCUGAGCUCAGUUGACAGCGGUUGUGUGGAAGGACAGCCCUCCAGUGUUAUUUUUCCAUGUCACUGUGAAGCACUGUCAUCCAUCCAGACUCAGCCGCUCUUGCCAGCAGUCACCAGCCGUGAUUCCUUUGACAUGCUUUUGGUCAGCUCAGGGUUUCAGCACAAUACUUCAGCAAUGUGAACCUAAUGAUCUGCUGGUGCCACACAUUUUUAAGCCAGCUAUGCGGACCUUGGUCUGAUUUGAAAUGAGCUAAUUAGCUCUGUAUUCUUAGCUGAGGAGUCUAAGGAAGGAUUAGGAGGAAAGGGGCAGGAGGGGCAUUUGUGUGUGUGUGUGUGUGUGUGUAUGAGUGUAUGGGGUGGGUGAAAGUGUAGCAGAGUUGGGUUGUUGAAAAGCAGGAGAAAGUGAUGGGGAAGGAAGAAGGAAAGAGGGUCAAACAGAGGGUGACGUUUUUGUGGGUGUCUGAGUGGGGGGAAACAGCCCGAUAAUUAGCCCGUUAAUCAUCUGCUUUGAAUCACUGACGGAGCCCCAGAAGCCUUCAGGUUACACACAUCUGUGUGUGUGUGACUGUGUGUCCAGGUAUGCUGAGUACCUCUGCACAGUUGGUGACCCCAUAAAGACCCGCCUGCAGGUCCUCCACAGCCAUAACUCAGAGCUGUGACCAACCUCACAAAGAGCCUGACAGAGCUGAUCUAUGCUACUAAAGCAGACAGCAGAUUCAUGUGCAUCAAUAUUCUACAGACCAAUGACCCACAGACUCCAUAAAGCUCCUCGCAAAGUGCUCCGGUGCAGAUCUGAAGUUACAGUCAUUUCAGCAAAAAUUUUACUUCACAAAAAAAACUUUGAUAUGUUCCAGAAACAAGCUGCAACUAUUUUUUCAAAAACAACUUUGGCAACACUUUAAAAUAAAUAUCCAUCAAAACUAGUUAAUAGAUUGUUAUUAAUGACUUGUUAAAUGUUUAACAGUUUGUUAAGGAUUUCUAAUGAUGCCUUAUAGAGUUAUAUAUGAUUAAUAAACUGUUAGUUAAUAAGCUAUAAAUGACUUGUUAACUGUAUGUUAAUGAUUUAUAACUAUUCCUGAUAAAUAAGUAAUAAAUGAUGAGCAAGCUUUUAGUAAAUUACUUAUGAGUUAAUAGUUCAUGUUAUUGGGACAUUACUCUAAAGUUUACUAACAUUUACUAACUGUUAGUACAUGAGGAAUAGUUUCAACUUUUAAAUAACGUUCCAAUAACAUAAAUAAACUAUUAACUGAUAUUUAACAAGUCAUUUGAAAGUAAUUUACUAAAAGCUUGUUCAUCAUCUAUUACUUAUUUAUAAGGUGUAAUUAUAAAUUAUUAACAUACAGUUAGAAAGUCAUUUAUAACUCAUUAACUAACAGUUUAUUAAUCAUAUAUUAACUCUAUAAGGCAUCAUUUUAAAUCAAUGUAAGUGUUUACAAACACUCAACAAGUCAUUCGUGACUUUUUCAUUAAGUUUACUAAUACACUUAUUUAUUCUUUUGCGUUAUUGUAUUUCUGCUUGCGUUAUCUUGUUUUUUGAUUGUUUUAUUUGUUUUUAUGUCACUGUACAGCACUUUGGCUACCCUUGUGGUUAUUUUAAAUGUGCUAUAUAAAUAAAGUUGAUUGAUUGAUUGAUUGAUUGAUCUAUUAACUAGUUGUAACGGAUAGUUAUUAUACAGUGUUACCACAAGUUCACUCAGUACAGUUAUAAAGUCUGAUGACCUUUUCAAUUAAUUUAAUUCACCAAUGUAGUUCAGGAGGCACAGUGACAGCACAUUUACCUGCUGUUCAAAAUAAAUUGAUCUGAUUGAUUUUGGACCAAUUUGGCUUUGGAAGAUACACGUUAGUCUGAAUGAAACUUCACCAAAUCGCCAAAUAUUAUGUGGACAGUGUGGUUGGGAAUCGAUUUUCUUUUCCAUUUAUAAAACCUCCGUCAGACUGUAACUAGCAUUGGUACUUUGUGCAUGCACCACAAUUUGCAUGUGGGGCUGUCCUAAAAGGUCAACAGCAAAAAUUCAUUGUCAGGAGGAAGGAUAUUAUACAGGACAAAACUGUUGAAUCAAACAUAGAAAAGGUACAUCAGCCUCUUCCUACUGUGUAAGACAAUGUAGAAGCCAUGAAAACACAUGGUAAAUUUAGAGAGAGAGAAUUCUUUGUGAUUCUUGUUCACACUUCUAAGACCAUUACCGAUUCUUUUAUCAUGUCUACUUGUAGUAUUAUGGCCUGAGAAGGAGCAAGAAGAUAAAAAAAAGUGAAGUAAACCCUGAAACCUUGUUUUUCCUCUCAGGCCAGUCCAUCAGAACAUUUUUCCCCUUUGGGUGCGACAGGGGUAAAGGUUAAAACCCUUCAUAUAUCACAGUAAUAGCCAGACCACCUCUCUUCCUACAUUUCCAGUGUCAAAAGUGACUAUCGCUCAAAGCACUUUACAUGCAACACGUGGACCAAAGAGGGUAAAAGAAAAAAUCUAGGCUUCAAUGUUGGUCAGUCGGUAAACUGUGGAAAUGUCUCAUCAGUUUAAGUUGGACUAAUAAACAAGGUAAUAAUUGGAGGAGGUAGUAAUAGUUAAAAAAAUUUUAACAGUUGUUUAUUUAUGCCUCGAUGGCAAAGUGAAUUCAACAAGUGCGACAACUGUCUCCUUGGCUGUCCUUUUAUACCUGCCCUCUCUCGCUUUGCGCUCUCACACAUUAGGUGCCAAAUAUAACACAAGCGUUGCCUCUUUAAGUUAAUGUGCUGUUCUGUUUGUGUAAAGCUGCGACAUCAAAGUAAGGGACAUCUCUAUGUGAACGACGUAAAGGCAUCACUUUUACAGACAACCGAAGCCCGCAGUGUUAAACAGAAUCUACUGCUUCCUUCUCCGUCAAAGUGUGCCUGUGUGUGCAAGUAAUUGUCUCAAGUUUGUGCCAUAUUUUACGUCUGAAAGGGCUUUUGGCGAAAUGUUGCGGUUUGAACGAAGUGAACUCUUGAGCUAAAUAGUGCUAUUCACACAAAGAGCCACAGGUUAAAGUUGGCCAAAGAUGCCCAGCAGCAGCUCAAUCAGGUGUGUCAGGACCCUCAGACAGAGGUGAGUUAUUUUAGUAUCCAUCAUUCACCCCUACAUGACCCCGCACCCCUCCCUCUGUAACAGUAGCUCUUGUUUUAGCAGCCAUAAUGUCCUGACCAACAUGCACCUCUUGUCUUUCACAUCUGGAGCUGCCUCAGGAUGUGCGCUGAAGCUGACUAGUGUUGGCAGGCCUCUUUGACUGGUCAUUGGCGUGCUUAUGUGUGUUUGAUCACAGGAAUGUGUGCGUGUGUAUGUGCGCGCACUCUCACCUUGCUGUGGGCGAGACAUUACAGUGAGGGUUGAAGAGGCUGUUUUGAGGUCACACGCCUCCGCGGUCGCACAACUUCUCUGCGAGGCGUUUUGAGGUCAGCUGCAGUGUUUCCCUGUUUCGGCGUCUGUAAGGAGACGUUAAGAUCAGAUUUGGAGAUUCGAAGGGAGGAGAAGAAGGGGUGAAGGAGGGGGGGGGCAAGGGCUGGAAGGCCCUGACGCAGGUAGGGAUGCAUUCAUCCAGCUUUUUAAGACUCGAUAAAAGUACAUGUGACACAAAUUUAUCACCCUGUGAAAUCCGUACACUAGGGCUGCACGAUUAAUCGAUUUUAAAUUGUAAUCAGAUUAUUUGAUCAUGAGGAUGUUGAAUAAAAUAAAAUGGUCAAAUUGACUUUCCUCUCUUUUAUGUCUCAUACCUCCAGGCCACUGUAGACUCCCCUUUCUUGCAGGAGUGCUCCCCAGUUUCCACACACACCAGUGUAAACAAACAUAACGUCUGCAAAAGAAGGCAAUAAUUUCAUGGCUGAAUAGGGCAAGAACAGGUCAGUCGUGUGAAUUUGGUACGGCUUCUCAGUUUCAGAUGAAGAGCAAACCACUUCCCGCUGCAAAGUCUGUCUGAAGGCAGUAUCAACCUGUUCACACGGAAACGAAAGGAGGAGUAAACGCAGAAGUUUUUUGUCGUAUCGGCUUUUACGGAUGACUGUAAACAGUACUUAAUGAUUGAAUCUGCCCGUGACCAGCCAAAACAAACUAUACGCAUGCUCUGUACUCUUCUUCUGUCUUCGGUGCAUUUCCACGGCAGCGUUACAGCACCACUAACUGGCUCGGCAUAUGUACUUCAUCGGUUUCAGUGGUUUCGUUUUUAGAGAUGAUUGAAAAACUUAGAGUGAAGUUUGGUGAAGUUGUCACUGAAUCGAAAUCGAAAAUCGAGUUUUCAGAGAAAAAAAUCUGGACUUUAUUUUUGGCCAAAAUCAUGGAGCCCCACUGUACACCUGCAAUGGUUUCUGUGAUAGUCAAUCACAUUCUACUCACUGGUGAAUCAGACAGAUCUGUUGGUUUAUUUGAUCUAAUCUGAGUUGGGUUUACAUGUAAUGCACUCAAUAAUGUUUACUGUCGUGAGUCACCGAGAAGGCUAAAGCUGAUGUUACGUCCUCCGAAUACACAACUCUUGGGCAAAAUAGACUGUAAGCCAGGUCUUUGCUUCCUCAGUCAUGUUAUUCCUGACAUCUGUUUGAGAUAUUAGGCUUGUAGUCUCAUGAAUUUAAAACUACAAUCAGCUACCUAGCCUUGCAGUUUACUACUUUGUCGUACAUUUUGUCAAUGUGAUUCAUCGCAGGUUUAUCCAGCGGCUUGUUCAAGCGAAAUUUUGUUUUGUGUCUGUUAAAAAAUGCUUUACGCUGAUCUGUUCGUCUGAAAAUUAAUUGUAAUAUUGGAUCAAUGAUAACAUAAAAAAAUUGACUGAAAAAAAGAUAGUUUACAACUAUCUUCAAAGGAUUUAUUGAGGAAAUGUGAUAAAAAUGCAGGAUCUAAGUACAGGACUGGAUGACGUAUCACAAGAGUUAUGCUCUCUUUUUGUAGUCUGUGAAAAUUCAUUCUCUUGCAACUCAAGGCCAUGGCCAUGUAGAGGAAAACCGUCUGUGGGGAACAAGAGCAGUGGAACAGGCUGAGCAAUGCAGAUCCCAUCAUGGGUCACAUGACCAGGAUGUAGCUUUGAUCAGCGUCUGAAGAUAGAUACCUGAAAGAAGUGCGUCUGUGUUUGUCACGGCACAAAUCCAGCUCCAUUUUUGCUUUUCAAGUCACUUGCUGGCGUGAAUACAAAAUCAAUAUUUGAAAACGACAUUGUGCAGCCAUUUGAAACAGGUGUUCAACAAUUUUGCUUGACUUUGACAAGAACUAGGACAACAUUUCUUUUUUGUACACCUUUGUCUUUUUUGCCAAAAAUACAAGACAAGAUGCUUGUUACUCGUUUCUUUGAUUCAAAGCUCUUCAAUACAGUUCAGUCUCCUCCUCCUCCACCUCCUCUCUCUCUGCUCUAGAUCUGUUUUUUCCAUCACCCCGUGUCUUGUAGGAAUCUGACAAAGAUAUUAUUAAUGCGAUAAAGACUUUUUGCUUCCUCCUCCUUUGGCCUGUAAUAAAAAACUCUGUGUAAACAUGGCAGAGCGGUCCAGAUCAUACACUAUGCAGAUCCCUCUCUUGUUCCCUGAUUUUCAUCUCUAGCUCAGUGUGUGUGGUGGAAAUCUAAGCCCCAGCAGGGUUUUAUUCAUUGCAAAAAAAUGCACGGGUGAAUGAUUUGCUAAAAGGUUGCUGCAGCCAAGCACAUAAACACUUAUGAACACAAAUGCACCUGAGGACACUGGCAUAGAAAAGAGACUUCAUGCCACAUAAAUAUGAAAAAAUAUGACCCACAAAUGCCUCAAAAAUGCUCAUGCAGUCAGUUUUGAUGUGUCUGAGAGCCAUCUGUGACACCAGCUGAGGUCUUCUGUGUAUAAAGUGUAGACAGACAUGGGAGCUCUGUCUGAUGCUUUUCUAGUAAGUCAUACUGUCCCAGUUUGGAUCAAAGCUCGUUUCAUUUACUUCCUUUUGAAUGGAGAAAGUUAACAGACCUGAUAAUGAUGUUUGAAAUAUCUGUGGUUUAUUUCCAUCUUUCUCUUCAGUAUCCCUCGUUUUGCCACGGUUCUCUUCCUGCAGCUGGCAGAAUUAUGUCUUCCAAGCUCAGAGAUGUGACUGACGAUAUUUUAGGAGAUUUAGAAUGGGAUCUCUGUGUUUGUGUACAGUGGAGGUACUUUGCUUCGAAGCCUCAACAUUCCUGAGUGACACUGUUCCCACAACUUUGCUCAAAAAACCAAACGUCACAUCCUUUCUGCCCUUCUAAGGACAUCUCUGAACUCUCAGAUGAACGGGUGCAGACGUGUAAACGUAGAACUUAGAACAAUAAAGACAAAUUUAAUGGGACAAAGAAACCUUUGAGGAAACAGAAGGUCGUUCUGCAUGCCUGAAAGUUGGAGAGGGAAAUGUUUGGGAAUUGUCAAAGACUUAACUUUUGGACUUUGACACAUAUGAACCAAACAUCACCUGAGCAUGUAAGCAGCAACAGAGUCAAAAGACGAACACCCAAACAUGUUUUAGGGGUGUAAUCACAUUUCUUGUGUCAUAACAAGUUUUUAUUUUGAGCUGAGAUGGAUCCUCAUAUUUUUAUAUUUCAGUGCAUUUGGGGCAGGGGUUGGCCUGCAGCUUUUUCAAAUGUAUGGAGGCUUAAAGGGAUAUUCCACUGUAAAAUUAAGUUAGGGUCUUCUUUGGUUGAGUUGAGUAGGUGAGUUGUGUUUAGUCUCUUUGCUAAAGAAAUUAGGCAAAGUUAAAAAGAUGUUUGGUGGAUAGUGUGAUGGCUUGGACCCUAUAUGUACUGUUGAUGAAGUUAGGUGCUGUUCUGAGUAUUAUUUGUGGGUAUAGAGUGGUGUUUUGGUUGAGGUUUGUUUAUGGCUCCUCAGACCGCUGUGUAUUGCUAUCGUGUGGUCUCUACUAAAGUUGGUAUAACUAGAGAAGCAAGCGGUCGGCAACAUUAAUCUCUCAACGGGGUGUCUAACUCGGUGUCACAGUGUGUUUGACCCUAAAUUAAUUUUACAUCAGAAUAUCCCUGUAAGACCUUCUGAAUCCCUUGUUGCAUGUUCCCCUCUCUAAUCUCUGCUCCUUACAUCCCCCUGUCCCUCUUCAGCUGUCCUAUCAGUACAGGGAAAAUAGAACAAACUAUACCAUACAUUUUCAGUGAUCAAGGUUGAUUGAAACAAUUUUUUUAAUUUUAUUUUCUAAUCAUUUUAUUAAUCCAGAAAGUGAAGUGUUUGUUUCACCACCACAGUGACUGUAGAGGAUUUUUAAUUGCACUUUUGGGCCAAUGUUCUCUUGGUCUUUGGGUAACGGGCCAGCCUGUCACUGCUUUCUGGAGGAGUUACUAGAUUUCUGUAACAAAAUAUAUUCAGUCCCUCAGAAUCACACCAAUCUGAAAGUAGUCAAACCCACUUUGGCCAACUUAAAGAUCUCCAACAAAUGGAAAAGAAAUACAAAGUAGCAGUGGCUGUUUCCAGCUCUAGCACCGAUACAACAGUGGGUGCUAUAGUGCCAAUUUGAGAGCUGCAGAGAGUUUACCAGAGGCAAUCCAAAACUAAAUGGAAUAUUAACAAAUCCACUGAAUUUACAAAACCUUAGAUAGAAGACCAAGGCUUUCACUAGCUAACAGUGUUUUUGGAAGAGUUUCUUGUGUCAGCGCUCCUGAUAUGAUCCCGGCACACAUUUACAGUCUGAUCAGAAAAGUCCGUCCACAGACAUUUGGACAUCUAGUCCAGUGAGUGUUGUUAGUUUGACAGCCGAGUGGUUCCAUGAAGACUUCAUGGUGAAAAGCCAUUAUUGUGUACACAAGAGUGCUCCAUUUGGCAAUUGAAGAGUGACACUCAUGACAAGUGAUUUUAUUUUUGGUAAUAGUUAGGACCUUGGCAUUUAUUGUAAUGUAGGGCCCCUCAUCACUCAGGAAAACAAUAUAUAAACCACAUUUAUUGGUAAACAAAACAAAAAAACACUUAAACAACAGAUUGUUUAAAAAAAAGUUGCAUUGACUUCCAGUUUCAUUUGAUAGGUAAACUCCUGCAGCGUCUUGUGCAUUAAAGUCAACCAACUACUAGACCUUCAUAGGCACUUAUUCGACAACACCAACUUCAACUGUGGUUUAAUAAAGGGGUAUCAACAUUUUGAUUUCAGGAGUAAUGCUGCAUUCGAGUUACCUCGGAAGUCAGAUGUCGGAGCUGGGAAUGACAUCACACCUGAGUUACCAGCGCUUCAGUUACCAGAUCGGAAAAAAGCAAAAUCGGAGAUGAAAACAAGAUGGCUACAUCUACGCAAAUUAUUUUAGCACUUGCCUUGUCUGUAAAAAGCAACUUGUGGACAAAUAGGCGGUCCUUCUGCAACAUCUUUUUUUCCGCCUCUGAUUUCGCUUUUUUCCGACUUGGUUACUGAAACGCUGGUAACUCGGGUGUGAUGUCAUUCUCCGACAUCUGACUUCCGAGGUAACUUGAACGCAGCAUAAGGCCCCCUACAGACCGUUAAGUACUGUCACUGGAUUUUUAUUGAUGAAUUUACAAAAUAAGAUUUUUUGGUCCUCUUUGAUUAUCCUGGAUUCCUACAAGUUUUGUCCAAAUAUGUUCCCUUUGCUCCUAUAAAUUCAUUCCUCAGUCAAAUUCUUUCUUUUUCUUAAACUACUUUCUUCUGUACAUCACUUUGAUUUUUCUCCUUAUGUAAUGAGACAUUACUUAAUGAUGGCAUUCAGUUCUAACACAUAAAACAUAAAGGGCCACAAAAAUGCAACUGUUGAAUUUGUGGUUAAGGCAGAAAUAACCCUAAUGUGUUAUUUAAGAAAUUUAUUCCUCGGCAGACGGCACAGUGGGAAUAAACAAUGUUCAUGCUGCAAGGCUUUUGAGGCUUUGUGGAGGUUGUUAAUCCAAAGUAAUGAUUAAGUUGUUUUCCCUUAAAUUCAAAACCUGAAAUCACAGUGUGCUGCUUUACCUCCCUGAAUAUAAUACUGCUCGCUUCUCUGAGUAAUCGUCAGACAUUUCCUGACUUUAUAGUAAAGGCAGCUGGUCUCCAGUUUGAGUGUGUGUGUAUGUGUGUGUGUGAGUGUUACAGUGGCAGCAGAUGAUAGUUUUGUGUAACGAUACCCCUGUGUAUCUCUCUACACACGCACACAAUCUCUUACACACACACUACCAUACGUAUUUUUCCACCCUGUGUGACUGUCCAAGUGGUAGAAGGUGCCAAUAGCCUUAAAACCACAGGAAAAUUGCAUUUCAGAUUCAUAAAUUCAAUAGUAAUAUGAAUAACAGCAGAUUGGAGGCAGGGAGAGGGUUGUUUUCCCCACGAUGAAAUAAACGAACUCAAUGUAAAGAUAAUGACUUUUUCCACAGUUGAACUGUGCCGCAAAUUGCAUCUCACGUUACCAGACAAAUAGGCAGUUAAAAUAAAGUUGCACUUGAACCUUGCAUGGUCAUUUCAUUUUUUAAAUGGGUUACUCCCGAGAGUGUCUUCAAGUUAUUCAGCGGUCAGUAAAUGUGAGCGGUGAGGAAAUGUACGCAGAGAGAGCUGUUUGUGGUCGGCUUAUUACCCUUAAGUUAGAGGCUCAACGGUGACUUUGCAUUAGCGUUGAAUUUUCCUUUCUUGUCUGAGAAAAUACCCAUGAUGCACUAAUUCAUACACAGACACAGACACAUUCAUGCAAAGUCAAGGACCAGAUCUUGGCGGUGGUGGUUGUUCUCAUAACACUGUUUCAUUGCUGGCAUUUUUCGGUGGUUCUAAAUCCGGGUGCAUGUUUGUUGAUGUAGAGGGUGGAAUGGGUGUGUGUUUGUGUGAGUGUGCGCGCAUUAUGAAUAAAAGUCAUAAGCUAUCCCUAGUCAUUCCUCGUCAUAGCGUCUUUAUUUAUUUGCUUAAACCAGUGCCUUGAUUUCCGAGAACUUGAUCCUCUGUAAGUCUUUCCCUCUUUCUCUGCUCACUCUGUGUCCUGAUCUCUGCUUCUGCAUCCCUGCUCUGCUGUUAUCAGGUAUCUACGGUAUACUGAGCCCCCAGACAGAGGGAAACCCUUAGAUGGCUGCUACCUUUACUGACUCUUUAAAUGAUAGAGUCCCAACAUCUUGAAGUUGAUGUUUGACAUUUAUAAAAUACAUGUUUUCUCAGUCCAAAAGAGUGGAUCAGCAGAUUUUUGAUACGGUCAGGUCUGUAAACUGCCUGUCAAACCGAUUAAUUUGGGACGACUAUACUGUGUGAAUUUUUGAAAACAAAGAAAACUUUUUUUUUUUAAUUUCAUCACUUUGCAGAAUAAAAAACAACCAGUUUAACAAAGCAGUCUGUGACAUUUGGCACAUGAAUGCUCUAUAGCACUCUUUCUGCUAAAGAAUACAUUUUGAAUGGUCUGCGUAACAUUUGCAAAUAACAUGGCGGGAAAAUAGGAACCUCUAUUUCAACUCGAACAAACACCCUUUUUUGACAUUUGUGACUGAAAUGCUACAGCAGUUUAUGAGAACUUAAACAGCAUAUGAAGACUCGAACUCAAGUCAAGUGGAGUUUAGAUUUUAAAUACUUAUAAAUGGACUAAAAAUUGAAUGUAAUGCUUCAUGUCUUUUACUUGAGACAUGUCUUGGUGAGCGCCGUCUUUAUGGCGUCUUUAUUUUCUUCAAAAUCUUCUCCAGAAGACGUUGAUCUUUUUGAUCAUCAGCAUCAUACAGUAUAUCAGCUUUCCAUGUAAGCAUAACCUUUCCUCUUGUUACCUCCGCCAAGGAGGUUAUGUUUUCGGUAGCGUUGGUUUGUUUGUUUAUGAGUUUGUUUGUCUGUUAGCAACUUUACGGAGAAAGUAACCGACAGAUUGACCUGAAAUUUUCACCAGAGGUGCGUCUCAGCCCCAGGAGGUUCCCAUUAAAUUCUGGUGGUGAUCCGGACAAAAUUCUGGAUACUGUAAUCCAGAACACACAAAAAUAAGGGUGUCGUUGGAAUUUUCAAUGCUGAAAGAUAACCAAUGGGCGGCACAGUGGUGUAGUGGUUAGCACUGUCGCCUCACAGCCAGAAGGGCCUGGGUUCGAAUCCUGGUCAGGGUGCUUCUUGUUUAAGGGGGGACAUGAGCUUCUUGGCGGAGGUCUGUGCUCUCCGAGUGCUUUUCUAGUUUACAAUAGCCUCCUUUAUGUGGCUAUAAUUUAAAACACAGUCCUCUUUAUAUUAAAUGUGAGCACUACACAUGCACUUUUUUUACAAGCGUACCUCUUUUGGCAAUCAAUUCAAGCAUCAUCCUUUUUGCACACAGUUUCAGUAUCAUCCCUUUUCUUUUCAUGAUCCUUUCAACUAUCAACUCGUCUUUAGUGCUUUACAGUUGGGCUAAUUCUCUUUGCUGCACCACUAAUCCUUCAUAAACUGUAACCUUUAACUCUGCGCAUUAUUUGUUUUUUCUGUGCUGAACAACUUGACCAAAUGGUCACCAUACUACCAAAAUGUAUUUUCACCUGACUUGUCAUAGUCAUUUUUGUCAUGAUAAGAUGAUAAAACAGCAAAAAAUUGACCUGAUUUUAUUGAAACACACAGACGCACAACCCACACAGAACUCCCACAAGUUCGCAGGCCAGUUCUCGUAUCUAAUCCCAGGCUUUUAGUGAGACAAAGGACUCUGUUCUCUCCACGGUCACCAUGCUAAUCUGCCCUCUGAACUACAAAGGCGCUGCUCUCUGCCUCUACAGGGAUUACCAUUCACUUAUUGAACCAGCUCUUACGGGUUUGAGACACUUGCAGAAAGAGAGAGGAAGAAAGAGACAGGGGGAGAUGUAGUUGCAUACAGUUUAGGGGAGCAAAAGGCAUGAACCCACUUGAAUUUAAUUUCUUUCACUGGGCUAAAAGUGUGAUUGAAUGUUAAUUUCCAAGCCCCUUGAUCCCAUACUCUCUGCUUGUAUAAAUUUCUUUUUUUGCUGGAAAUGAAAGUAGAGGAGGUGGAGUCGAACUGUAAGAAAGAAAAAAACAGGAGUGUGAUACAGAAAAGCUGGAAUGUGGGAGCUGCCUAUAAAAGUGCCCCAUGUAAUCACGAGCGUAAUCCUUGUAAAAUAACCCAGCGAAGGUGGUGUGUAUGUGUGUGUUUAUUAUGCAUGGGUCUAAUUAUAGUAGAAAACUGAAGACGCCAUCAUUUUUGAUGCUGUUACUCUGCGGGUCCUGUUUAGUUUAUUAUUGAAAUUUACUCCAAGGCUGAUCUGAUGUGUGUUUGCCUUUUACGGUGAGAUUCUGCAAUCCAUCCACAGACGCCCUUAGCUCCCAUUUAACACUCCUCGUCUCUUUUCUUCAACAGUUGGAUAAGAUUCCAGUCAUGCUCUUAUUCACACACAAAGCGUGCCAAAACUGAUCAUUCACCUGGUGAGCAAGAGGAUAGUCCAGGGUAAAACAUUCUUUAAAACAGGAGCAUUACUAGGAUCCCACUGAGCAAUAGAUGGCUGUUAGAUGUCUCGUUUUUCUUUUUUAGACCCAAUUUUAACCAGAUUCUGUAUAUUUUUAGAAGGAAUUUAGACGUUGCACUGUAACCCAUUAUUUGAUAACCAUUUAUUUCAAAAAGCAACUGCAUAACUGAUCUUGUGCUUAAAGGUGGGGUAGGCAGGAUUCCGUUAAAGAAGCAUCUUUUUUGUGGUGUAUAUACAAAAAAGCUUUUAAUAUCAGUCAAUAGCUAUUAGUUAUUGAUGAACUUUGGUAAUAUCAUGAUAUCGCUGUGUUUUGUUAUGUCUGUGUAGUCGCCAACAUUUAAAUUUUUUGAGCGGCCCGCUCUUUCUGACUGUAAACAAAGCCGUUCUCCGCCUCCCCCAACCUGAUUGGUUGUGAGGCAGACGCUGCUCCCCCUUGUCGUUCAGGAGCCCAAACAAAGUUAACAUGCUACAAUAUCGGACAGUAGAAACCAACCAGAAAGUGCGGAAAAUCGUCUGAAUCCUCCUUUGGCCACGACUGUCGACACAAGCAAGAAAAGAAAGUAAAUACCGGAGACUCUGGCAGAAUAACAGGCGCUUAAAACGGAGGUAGACAGGACAAGAGCAAAGAGGCCGGGUCAACAUAAACGAUGGGGGACGCUUCGGGAUCUUACGGACCCUGUAACCUUUCUGCUGAUUUAACAAAGUAAGCUAAGUGUCUGUAACAGAAGUGUUUCUUAUCAAACUGGACCUGCUGUGUGUUGUAGCGCCGCUAAACUGUUUACUUCGGGUCCUGGACUAUGUCACUUUAUCCUGGUUGUAGAAGUCCUGCUAACAUUGUGUUUGCUGGUAGUCUGUUGGCAUCUACAGAAGCACCAAUGCUUUUUACUUUCACAUUGACUGGGCCCCAUUUGUAAUUAUCUGAAGUAUUUAUCUGCAUUAUAUCUGAAUUUAAUUGAAAUGAUAUGAGCGUCUGUUUGUGGGCGGGGCUUGUUGGAGCAGAGCGGGAGGGGAGAGGAGGGGCUGAGGGGAAAAAUGGUUGGGAGGGGUAGUGUUUUAAUUCAAGAUUUCACCCAAAAACUGGCACUUCCCCAGAUCCUGCUUACCCCACCUUUAACCAAAACAUAUGAUAGCCAUUGAGCAAUAUACAGUGUAGUAUAGAUAUAGCCCAAAAUUUUAUUUAAACUAAAUUUAGACGUCAAAAAAACUUUCAUUUUUAGACCUGUGGUCGCCUGAUUUUAGACCAGUCGUCUCGGCUACAUUUAGACGUCUAUUAGACCAAAAAAUGCUCACUGAGGAUGAGGUUAAAAUCCAUUAAAUGUUGUAAUUAGUACUCAAGUCUUGCUCCAGGGAAAACCCUCUCAUCAAAUUUAAAGUGUUGAAUAACCGUUACAUUUUUUAGCCUUGAUUAUUGUCCCCCCUGCUUCCUCUCUGUCUCACUGACCUUUUAACAUCACACGGUCAGCGUCAACACUAGCAUCACAACAUAUUCACACACACACACACACACACACACACACACACACAUUUCCCUUUUCUGAGAUGUGAACACAAAUAAACAUCCUGAUUGGGACAUUAAUCAUGCACGAACGCCUCCAUACAUAUACACAGCACCGACACACACACCCCCGUGUUGUUUAGCAAAUUAAUUAGACCAGUGUUCAAUAGGCUCUCAGCUGUAAUGAAUGGAGCUUUAGAAAUUAAGGAGUGACAGCAGGAGUGAACCAGGAAGGGACAAGUAGCCUGAGAAAAAUGAACAAAACUGGUUAUUGCUCCCUCAGCCUGACAUCAGAGGUCAGAGAUAUUUCCUGGCAGACCAUCAAACUGCGUGGUUUGAAUAUUUCUUUGAUAAUUCUGUGAAUAUUUGUAGUUUUUUUUUUUUUACAAGGAUAACCAAUUUCCUGGCUUUCGCGCGAUGGUUAUGCUGACAUCUCAUUUCAGCUGGUAUUUUACUUUGAUAUUGUUGAAGUUUCAUCACCUUCACUUCAACAGUCUCUGCUUGAUAUUAUUUGUCAAUUUUUAGAUUUAGAUUUGUAACUCAACAACGACAAAUAACACAUCUGUGAUAUGGUGAUACAAUAUAAGAGUAGAAACUUGGUAUUUUAAAAAGUAUCAGGCAGUUUGAAACAGGAAGAUAUUUUUAUCCGUUGUCGAAGAGUUUUGUUCAUAAACAACGUUGUUCUGUAUCAAACAAAACGCAACAAAGUAGAGAUGAAGAUAUUUGAUAAUAUGUAAACAUAACGAUCAUAAUCAUUUCCAAGACUUCACUAUCAGAUAGGUAAGAGCAAAGUUUUUCAGGCAACUAUAGAACCAAAUAUCUGUAAAGUGGUGCUCAUCGAUGUUGCUUCUUGACCAAUCAGAAUCGAGAGGGGGCGGGACUUCUAAUAAGUCUUCGUCUGUGUGUACUGUAAGAGAUCUUCAACAUUUCGUCAACAAAUUAAACGUGUUCUUAGUUAGUGGAAAGGGUGCUGCCUUGGCUGCAUCUGUGGAGGUGGGCUUUUGGGGACAAAUCUCAUGGUGGGCAGAAUGAAGAAGGGAUGCUGUUCUACAAAAAUGACGCUGCAACAAACAUUUCAUUUUUCAACUUUCAGCACUCUUUUUGGACGCAGACUUUUAGAUUUGGGUGGAUUUAAGUGAAAGUCUUGGAUUAGUUUUGGACAGAAAAACAGAUUUCAGGCUAACCAUAGUCCUGUAAUCCCAAAUUAUAUUAAAUUCUGUCUGACACUGUCGCGGUGCUUCUGAUUUCCAUUUAAGACGAAUACCUUUUAAUACCUCGGGCUCUGUGGUUAGGGCAAACAUCACAGUUGGAAUGAAGUAUGAUUUAUGAUUCUACAUUAAAUUUUGGACCCAGCUCAUCAGAUGUAAUGGAAUAUUCAACGGAAAAAUUCCCAGAAAUGUGGAUCGGCAUCUUUGGAGAAAAGGGACGUGGGCUGACUUAAUCUUCCUGCUCGAAUAUUCCUUCAGUUCCUGUCACUGACCCGUUUGUAACCUCUCUGUCUUUGACUCUUUUCUCUUUGGAGAGCAUCGAUUCCUGUCCUGCUGAUUCAUCGUGGACGCCCUUCACCACAGUGACGUAGGCAGCUGUGAUACCACACACACUCCCUCUUACAUACACGGAGGAGACAAGCCCAACAAUAGAAGCAGCCAAGUCACCUCAGUCCAUUUUCCUUCCGCACGCCUCUCUCAUCUCUCUGACAGCCCGGGUCAGCGGCUGUGUCUGGCAUGCAGAGAAAAAUCACACAAAGAUUACGAGUCCAUUAAUGUUCAGGGAUAGUUCAUCUUUCCAGCAGUAAAUGUAUCACCUAAUCCACAAGUUAUUCAUCCCUGAUGAGUCCAAACUCCUGAUCCAAGAUCUUCUCAAAGUGUAGUUGAUUUUGCCUGGUGUUUUGGCUUCUCUUCUCACCGAUAAAUUCUGUUUAUUGUCGUAUAAAUCAUUUUCCUGCACAUAAAAAAUGCCAGAAUGUUCUGUGUUUAAAAAAGUAAUUGCGGAGCUUGUUGGUAUGUGUGUUUGUUUUCAUGUGCAGAUGAAUGUAUGACAUUUGUAUAAAAGCAGAGGCAUCAGACGGUGUGUGUGUGUGUGCGUGUACGUGUGUGUGUGUGUGUGUGUGUGUGUGGAUGUCAGGCCGAUAUGUGGUUCACAUUAGCUCUGUUUGAUGUCUCCAUCACAGGCCUCUCUCCUCCUACUUCUACACUACUGUUUGAUCUGCACCAAUCUGGUCCUGAUCAUUCCGCCUUUGUUUACUUUCAAAGACACUUUUCAUUUCUCCUUGUUUCUCUAACCUCCGCUCACCCACUCCGCCUGUCACUCUCACUCAGUGUGUGUGUGUAUUUGCGCAGGUUUAAAUGUCUUUUGUUCUUCUGAGCAGAUGUGUGUCGGAUUACAAUGCGGAGAAGUCAGGGGUGUUUUACAUCUCGAUGGCUGUCCUGUGCUCUGGGUUUCAAAGGCAUUUUCUUUAAAUUAGAUUUGAGAAGUAACAUCACUUCUUUUUUUUUUUGUGAGGUCUUUGUUACCGAUGAUGGUUAUGAUUCGAAGGCAAACACUGCCUAGGAGGAGUGGAGUCAAAUCAUGGGACAUAUUUCAUCUCCAUCUGGAUCAGACAUAAGGAGGUUAAGUACAGGUCCACACGGAUCUCACGCUCACCCUUUGUGAUUCAGUCUGUGGAUGAUGCAUAAAGACCGGGGUUUAUGAGCCAGUCUUUUUCAGCUAUGAGUUCAAAUUUGUAUAAACAUGGAUUCCAAUAUUUCUGAGCUUGAGUGUGACAUGAUCCCAACGCUGUUAUGUUUCCUGAGGUACAGAUCAAUCUUUUUAUGGUUUAUUUGUUAAGGAGAGAUACAUUACACAGGGAGCAGUCAUUCGAUGCAAGUAUCAUAGUGUUUAAAGUGGAUUAAAGGAGCCAUGUGAAGGUUUCAACCACUUGUAGGACUCUAGAGGAAAGUAUUGGCAGCUGAUUUUAUUGGAGAGGAUAGAACAGCUGGCAGAGCUGGAAGGGAGGGAGAGAAUGAACUGCAGGCUGGAACUGAACCUGGACUGCCCACUCGAGGCAUAGCCUCCAUACAUGGGAUGCACACAUCUACAUGCUUGUCCAGCAGCACCAUCUCUCUCUUAGUUUUAUUGCGUGCAGGCAUAGACCAGCGUACACACACGUCAGCAUGCUGGAGGUGAAUUACAUACAGUACAGAGUAGUUGUAGCCUGGCAUUGCCAAACCAAUCAGCCAGCUCAUAUUUAUAUUUACUGGCAUAUGAGUCUGGAGGCUGCCAUUCUUAACGUUUCAUCUUAAACCGCACCAAUCACAACGCUUUGUUCAAGCAUAUUUACUUCUGCAUACUGUGCCCAAAUCCUCUGGCUGAUGCUGCCCCUGUUUACUGAGGUCUAUUUAGGAAAACAAACGGCUAUUAUGUGGAGCCGCCAGGUCAGCUGGUAAAUUAGCUCACCCUGUAUCUCUGCGUUAAAGCCGUUUUUACAAUGAAACUUAAACAUGCAUUCAAGAGUAAGAAUAAGAACUGUAUUGAUCCCUGAAGGGAAAUUCAAUUGUCUGUCGUUUCAUUUGUUAUGUCUCUAAAAGUCAUCUACUAUUUACAGAAGAGUUGUAAAGUCUGAUGGCUGUUGGUACAAAAGAUCCUCUGAAUCUUUCUGUCCUGCAGCGAAGAGAGAGGAGCCGUCCACCACCAUUGGCCCUUAGGUACAUGAAGGUGUUGUGAAGUGGGUGAUCCAUGUUCUUUAGAAUAGUCUCCACCUUCCUCAGUGUAGAUCUCUCCACCACAUCCUCCACUGAGUCCAGCUUGAGUCCAACCACAGAGCCAGCCUUUUUCACCAGCGUAGAACAGAACACUGUAGACACCACCGACUGAUAAAGCAGGUCAUUGUGUGAGUUUAUUAAUGUUAUUCACGAUCAGUCGACCUGUUGCUUGUCUGUGGGAGUGGGUCUCAAAAGUCCAUCAUCGUGUUCACUGUCAGAUGAGCUGCAUUGUGUGUCCUUGCUUGGCUGUGUGUGUGCGUUGUGUGUAGUCCUAUGUGACAUUUUGUUGGUCUUGUGUGGUUGUAAAGGGGGGAGCUGUCGUGCAUUUUGCACCCUCCUCUGCUGUCAGCAUAUUUUGAUGAAGUGCACAUGUAGUGAAUGUGAUAAAGUGAUUCUUAGAAGAUUUGUGGCUUUAAAUCAGCUGUUUUCUGUUUUGGUGAAAACUCAGUCUUAGAUGAACUAAAUUGAAGAGUCAGGGUUUGAUAGUGAUUUACACUGAAGUUUCACUUUGGUUUACGUCAGAGAUGUGAUACCAAAAAAAAAAAAAAGGAAAAGAUUUUAGAGUUAUUUACCUCAAAGUAAACUGGUCUUAAAUUUGUUGGUAUAACAACAUCAUCGUGUGGAUUUGUAAGAAGUAAAAAUCCAGGUUUAUCAUGUUUGUCCUCAGGGACAGAAGAAGACAACUUUUUAAAUGUUUAUUGAAUGGAGAGUGGAUCGAUCAUCUGAUGCACUGCAGGAAAUCAGGAAAUCUAAACUCUGUUCAGCUUCAGACUACGUUUACACAUGCCCAUUUAACCCUCUCUGUUUACAAAAAAAAAACAAAAAAACGGAGAGAACACCACUACGUUUUCAGAAAACUUUUCAUUUAUAUUAACCUGUGUAUAUCUGCUGUCAAGAGCAUAUCAAACAUGUGGGUGGCAUUGUAGCGAGAAGCUCACGUUAGCCAAUCAGAAUCCCUCAUAGCAGCAACAACAACAUCCCUUCCUUCUUUCUUGCGCACAAUCUGCUGUCGGCUACACAUAUCUCCGUUUUCCUGUUUUUCUCCAUUUACAUGCAAACAGAGUUUUCUAAAACCUCCACUCUGGCCGGAGUUUUUAAAAAGCACAAUUUUCAGGGGCAAACGAUGGUUAAUGUCGCCGCUUUUAAAAAUAACCGGGUACAUAUAAACAUGGCCUUAGUGAUCCAGUGUUAGAAAAAAAUCUGUCCCUUAAAUUUAAAUCUUUGAUCUUUUACAAGCUGCUAGCCACACUAGCAUGUCAUUAUCUGUUAAAAGAAGAAACUUAGCCAUCAUCAGACUACCACUCGAUGGAAACCAUGAUAUCAGUAUGACAGACUGAGUUUGAAUCCAGCUCACUUCAUCAUACAUCUCCAUGCAGAACCCGUAAAUAAAGAUUACUGUUAGAUUUCAGGUUCCAUGUGGACUUUUCAUCGACUUUGAAGAUUAGCACCGUACAGACCGUCUCUUUUUGCCUACACCGAAGCUGAAGCAACAGAUUGUAUCUGUGUCACAGAUACAUACUGAUCUGAGUUAUAAUUGGUUAUGUAGCCCAGACAUGUGUUAAGAUCCCAGAGAACAUUGAAGUUCCCGUUGGGGAUUACGUCUUCUAUCAUUCCUCUGAACACCUGCAGGUCCCUCACACAACAAUGGCGUGCUUGGAUGUGGGUCUAUCUACCCAUAUUUACUUCACUUCUUCAAGCACAUCUCUUUGUCUUCCAUAAACCUCUGUGCUCAUCUGCUCAUCCCUCCUUCUUUCUCAGGGAGUUUCUUGUGAGAGUUACAUGUCUAAGACCCAUUAAUACUAAAAGCUGUUGACAUAUAGUGAAAUUCCUCUUUCUGGCGACGGGUAAUUCAAUGCUAGAAACCAUUUAUCUUCCUACAAGGCCGUUCUUAUUCUGUUUAAACUCUGUUGCAGACAGAAAGGUGUUUCUAAGAGUGGGUAUAAAUGGUGCAACGGAGGAAAAAGUCAUAAAGUAGAUGAGAGAAUGAGGACGACCUGCAGAGAGUGUGUGAGUGAGAAACCCUGAGAGGUGAUUACAGUGUCAUAAUCAUGCAGGCAUGUACAGGGGUGUACAUACAUGAAGUGAUGACAUGAACAAGUACACAUUACAAAUGUAACGUGUCCACACCAUGGCAACCACAAGGAUAAAUUGUUGCUCACAAGGGUGGAUGGCUUCCCUCAUAUCUUCAGGUUGGGGUUAGAGAUGGAUCUGCUGCCAGGAUGCUGUAUGUGCACAUGUUUUUAAUUAACUUACUUUCCCACUAUUCAAACUAUUGGGCUCUUGAGUGCUGAAAAUAUUCAUUUACAGUCCUCAGAGUCAAAUUCUUUCCAUCUGUGACAAUAUCUCUGCAGCACAAAUUAAGCAAUCAGUGCGUAAUUAAGUAAUUCUUCUGAGUCAGACUUUCAACUUAAGGUGGAAAUUAUCUCUGUCAAUCAUCUCACCACAUCGUGUAAUGAAAAGCACACAGUGGAGGACCAGGCUCUGAUUAGAUGGGAUAUAAUCGGGUCAGAGGAGUGUGAGAUAAUGAAAGUGAGAGUUGUUCUGCUGUCGUCCCGUAUGUUCAGGGUCCUGUGGGACUCAAACAGGCCUGUUAAACUUUAUUAGAGUGAACAGGCUUCCCGAGUCCACACAACACCGGGCCUGGGAGAAAAACCCACAAACAGAGGCCAUAAACAUAAACACAACAACAGACUAUUGUCUCUGCCAGUGGGGGAAUGAACGGAUGACAGGAUGGAUGGAUGGAUGGAUGGAUGGAUGGAUGAAUGAAUGAGGGUCCUGUUCUCUGCUCAUCUAGGCUGCUCAGAUAAUGCCAGUGCAAAGAUAUGGGUGUAAUUUUAGGUAAAAGUCCCGCUCCGAUUGUUUUUUUUUUACUACUUAAAGUGUAUCAAUGGUUUAAAUUGUGAUUGUGAAGUUUUUAUCCAAAAUGAUGUUACCUGUGCUGUUUUCAAGGGGUUUUCCUCUUUAGCAAUUUACCUCUGAGUUGUGGGCGUAGACCAGGGGUGUCAAAGUCAAAUGGAGGAAGGGCCAAAUAAAAAAUUUAGCUACAAGCCGAGGGCCGGACUGAUAGAAUGUUCAUUGAAAAUUUUUUAAAUGACGCAUAUAGUCUAGUGAACCUAAUUGAACCUACUGAAAACCUAACAAAUAUAUUCCAAUAUGAUCAGAUAAAUAAAGCAAUAUUUUCUUAUGGCUCUGUCAGUAAUCUUUAAUUUUCAACAGACACAAAAGACAAAUUUCCUUUAUAUAAAAAUCCCCAUAACAUGAACAUUAAAUGAAAGAAACCGGUAUUAUUCAAGUCACCAUCAGUAGCCUAUAUUUUCUAUUUUAGCAAAAGUGGGCUAAAUUUACUUCAAAGAAAAAAAUAAUAAUAGCAAUUUUCUAUCAUCCAUUUUUGAACAGAGCCUGUCGAGAUUUGAGGCCUCGUUUUAAUUCCUCGGCCUUCUGUAGCCUUUGUUCCAUGUCCAUAUUCUUGUUUUUGUCCGCGUGUUUCGUUUCAUAAUGUCUUCUCAGAUUAUACUCUUUCAGUACCGCCACACUUUCUCCACACAGAAGACACACAGGUUUUCCAGCUACCUCCGUGAACAUACACUCCGACUCCCACCUUGUUUGAAACCCCCGGUUCUCAGUGUCCACCUUCCGUUUUGCCAUUUUUGAUGGGUAUCUGAAAGUUAAUUUUACUGUUAUGCUGACCACUGCUUUGCUAAUAAAUAUUGAAAUGAAGCAGCCUACUGCUCGGUGCGUCACCGUUGCAUUGUGGGAAAUGUAGUUUUGGUGCGUGUAAAAGAUCUGCGGGCUGCCGGCUUGCUGCGGUCUGCGGGCCGGUUCUAAUAAUAAAUCAAGAUCAUCCCAGGGGCCGUAAAAAACCUUCUCGCGGGCCACAUCCGGCCCGCGGGCCUUGACUCUGACAUAUGUGGCGUAGACAGUGCUGCUCUGCACACUCAUCUUCACGCUAGCUUGCAGCCUAACAUUGCCGGUGUAGUUGAAGUAGCAGGUAACAUAGCAGUUAUUCAGCUCUCUGACAUGAAUGUCUUUGGCAUGGUGAAAGCUAACAGCAUAAUUAGCUUUCUUACAAGCAUUGCAAUCCACUAACGAACACGCUUGGUUCGAGAUCGUCCUCUCUACUUUUCCGAGUGUGGCCUCCAGGGGCGGAGCUUGGAUUUGCGACGUUGGAAAUCUCACUAAAUUUGAACCUGCCGUUUGGGUCUGCCAGAGAUUCACAGCGAUUUGAAUGAAGAAAUACUCAGAAAUGCAAAUUUGCACUUAUUUUUCUCAUGAUAUGUCCUGUAGCAUCAGAAAAAUGCUGUAUGAACAUGUAAACAACAAGAAAAACAUGAUUUUCAGCGGAGUUGGUCUUUGAGAUUAGAGGUGUAAUGGUAUCAUGAUCUCAUAGUCUGGUUGUAUCAUCGUAUCAGUCUGUAUUUAUUGUUGUAUUUAAAAAAAAAACUACACACAAAAAUGCCAUUUACAUUCAUGGUUAUAUUCUUGCUUAAGGCUCUGUGUAACUUUAGCCUUUGUGUCAUUGUAGAGGGCUGCUCACAGUGUUUAAAUGAAGAGUGGCUGUGACAGGUAUUAAUACUUAAGCUCUAGUGUGUUUCCUAAUCUUCAAUCCUCCAUUGUCAACCACAGAAAAUGUCUGUAGGUCUUAAGCUAUUCAGUGAUAUACCUGAUGAUCUCUUGAGCUCUCACUGAUCUGGGAAAGUGAGACUGUAAAGCUUCCUUUAGAGUCUCUUGGCCCGGCUGGAUUUAUCAUUUUCUUUUACUUCUCAGUCUUUUCAAGGUGACGAUUUACCAAGUGGCAUUUUUCAUUUUACUCAUUCUCUACAAGAUGUCAGUCACUGUGGUCUGACAGUGUCUACAUCUUGUUUUGGUUUGUCAGACACCUUUUUUCAUUACUUGACCUGGGGAAACCAAAAUGCUUCCACAGCUCUGCUUUUAAAAGCCACCAGAGUACAACAAUUAUAAAAUUGCCUCCCUGUGUCUUGACCCGCCAUUUUUGCUGAGGUAAUGAACAACAAUGAGAUUUGUAGUUCCCACUACUCUCUGCUCUGCUUCUGAAAACAACUUCUCUGUCAUAUGGUCUUGUGAGAUCAAGAAGAUGGUGCUGAUAGUACUGCCGUCAAUAAUAAAAUGUAGUCAUCUAUAAAAGUGCUUUAAUAAGGGUUCAUUUCUGAGGAUUUCAUCUACUUCUUCUGCAUGAACAGUUUUAACUGUGAGCAAUGUUAUAGCCGGCUGAUCCUGCUUCGAUCAGGUCACCUCUUUUUGGUGGCAUUAAGGUACAGUGUUCACUUUCCAGAGCCUCUCGACAUGCUUGGCUGUCUUCUAGAGGUGAGGCUGAGGUGAAAAGACACUGUGCUGGAUGGGCAGGCUGCCUCCAUGAGCUAAAUAGGACCUUGAAGGGUCCACCCAAGGCUGGUGUAGAUUGCUGCUGGGCCACCAGGUGGAUCAAGUUGACCUGGUUCCACAGGAAUAAUUAGAUGGGACUGGUCUGAUCCCAUUAGCAGUGCUGGUUCUGCUACUGCUGGCUCAGAAGGAAAAAAAUGAAGAGGUCAUGUCCCGCAGGUAAAAAAAUAUAAAUUAUAAUGCCUGAUAGAACUAUUGAUUGUAAAAAAAAACUAAGUCCAUACUCUUUUGAAUGCUCACUGAGGUGAAUAUGUUGUCUAUGCAGUAAGAGCAUGACCCCUGAACUCUGUAUGCCCUGGGAAGUCUGAGCUAGUAGCCACAUUUACAUGCAGACUUUUUUCUCAUUCGGAUUAUAAUCAUUCCGAUUGAAGCUCCCAGGCGAACUGUUUACAUGGAAGCGAUCUAUUCUGAUCUGGUGUUUACAUGUGCCACGGCAUUCAAUCGGAACAGCUAUUUACAGACACGUGAUACCUUCAAACAUCACGUGAUUGAUUGAUCACGUGAUCUCCGACGCAGACCAGUGCAUCGUGCUCUGUUUGGAAGCCGCCAUCAUGUUUCCAUGUGAGUCAUACGUCACUGCUUGUUUACAUCAGGACAGAGCAUGCGCAGACAGAACCCAGCCUGACAACUUUCCGAUUCACCGUUUACAUGACAGGAUUUUGCUUUUAAUCGGAAUGGGAAAAGGAAUAUUCUACCCCUGUGAAUCGGAAUGAAAUUCCAUUCGGAAUGGGCCUGUUUAUUCCGAAUGAGGUGUUUAUAUGGAGCAUUUUCAUUCCGAUUGGGCUUCUAAUCCGAUUAUAUUCGGAAUAUUUGGCUCCAUGUAAGUCUGAGCUAGUGAUGUGUCGGUUGUGAACGAACCGGUUCAAAGAGCCGACUCUUUAACUUGAACGAUGGGCGGCAGCUCCAGCCUGUGAGCCAUUUUCUUUUUCUUUUUUUCUCUCUUUUUUUACCCUCCCACAGAAUGUAGAAAAAAAAUGCCUCAAUACACCAAGCAGAGGGGGGCGGGGGUGUGCCAUGUGUUUGUGCUCAUUAGUCAGAUGCGCUCAGGAUGGCUAAUUUUUACUUGUGAAUACUUCAGUUCAAAGGAUGUAUUGAAUUAUACAAGAGGUAUGUGUACACAUACAUACAUAUCAUAAGCCAGACAAUGCUAAAAUUGACUGAGUUAGAAAAUGUGUAAGUGGUAAAAUGAAGAGCCGUUUGGUUGCCGAAAGAGCUGAGCCAAAUGAUCUGGCUCACUGAAAAGAGUCGUAAUUCCCAUCACUACUAGCAAACACGUAAGUUGUUGUUGUAUAGUGCUGACAAAACUGUAAAGUGGGUUGUAUGACCCUGGAUUCAUUUUUUUUCUUAGCUGUAAAGAAUACACCAAAGCUGAACAAGGCUCUGCUUCGUCUCUCUUUCAACAGCUUCUUAAUCCAGCCUCAAACUCUAGAGUCUGUCUGAGUAGUAUACAGCAAAGUAUCUUUGUGACUUUUUUAUCCAUGUUUUCAUGUCGGAAACUGUUAGCCACAUACUUAGUCACAUUGUGGUGUCCUGGUUUGAGUCUACCAACCAAUCAGAGGCAGUGUUCCAAACUUUGCACCAACCACAGGCUCUGUUAUGAAUGUGAGUCACUGCUGAUCCCAGUGGAUGUUUGCCAGUGAAAUAUUACUCCCCCGUGUCAUUCAUUGUUUUAACAGCGUAGCACUCUAAAUUAAAAGUAGGAGUUUUAUAAUCUCAUAAGUGGUCGACCCUGUGUGUCUUUUGAUAGCACAUAAUUGGACCGGGACCAGACCGAAUGAGAAUGAUAUUUUUUUUCUUGUACAUUUUAUUUGGCAUCUUAACAAGGACAUUGACAAAAAGAGAUCUCAGAAGACGAACAGCUCACUGAGCCCAGAGAUUUAGUCCCAGUCUCUUAACCCAAUGCUGUUGCCCAACCAAACUGUCGGCAACCAGAUUGCUUUACCGCCUUUUAAAGACCCAGGCUCUAAUCUCAGGGUAUUGACAAGACUGAUUUUGCCCUGUCACUGCCCUACCACUUGGUCCCUAAUAUCCUCAUGUCUUAAACUCUGAUAUAGAUGGACACCAAGAGGCAGCUUAUCAUCAUGUUAUUAAAAGGGCCCCUUACUUUGCUGGUGUUUUAUUAAGUUGGGCCGGUAACACCUCAGGGGGGCUCGACAGUCAACUCCAGGAACCUAAAACCAUCCACCUACAUGUGAGCUGUAAUUACCUAUCACACCCAUGCACAAGAAAAGAGAGAGGUAGCAAGAGUUUGUAGAGAGAUGUUAGAAAGAUUGUUUUGGGCUAGAUCUGAUUAGGCUGUGGGCCCUUCCUCCCUCUACUUCCCCAUUUUCAUGAGAAAGCCUCAAAAAAUCAGAGCUUGUGUUACUUGUAUUUUAAAGCUGUCAUGAAACCUGGCAGUUGAGGGUGCAACAAUAACAGACAAAAACACCAAAAUCCUGCAGGGACUGAAAAACGAUGUCCACCCCUGAUCUUUGAAAUUAUGUACUUACUGUUGUGAUUGUGAGGCCACAUUCAUGAUGAAAGUAGCAGCUACAGUGAGUCAUCAGGGUUGGAUUUGGUAGUAAACCACCCGUUAGGAUCUGGCCUGCAGCGUUUAACUGCAUGACUGUGUGAUCACCGUCCUGAUUAGCUGCUGCAUCCAUCACUGAGUGUUUAGACGAGACCUACAGCCCUGCUGAUGGACAUGAGCUCACUCCCCUGUGCAGGUGCUGAGAGGGUGGGAAUAUGUGUAACACACUCACGCAUUACCAUUUCCACACAUCACUACAACACUAUACUGUUAAACAAAGUUGUAAUCAGUGAAAUGUUUAGUUUUGGCACUUUAAUAAAUGAUAAACAGUCAUUGUACUGCAGAGUCCCUGUUGAUCGAAUUUGACUUUCUCUUGGUGUUUCCAUUUACAUUGACUCAUCAGUCAGGGUGGACCUCAGUACCCAGCAUGCAAUCUUUUUUUCUCAUGUACCUCUUGAGGCCCAUCACCAUAGAAAUAAACUGUAGAUGUUAGCUGUCUGAAAAAACAUGCUCUUAAAAGAUUUAUCCAAAUGGCAGCCUGAAACUUGGUGUUACUGAAUACUAACAUCAUAAAGGUCAGGGUUGUUUCUCCUUAUAACAAGUUUUAUAUCAAUAAGAGGUACCACAGAAUAGGAACACGCCUUAUAGCUCUGAUACGAUACAGAUAUCUACAGUUUAGUAUCGGCCUAUACCGAUCCAAUUCCGACACAGAAAAGCCGCGCUGUAUUACCUUGUGUUGUAACCUGAAGUUUUACCGCUGCCUCUCAUAACGUUAGCUAUGCAGGUACUGCAAGUGGCCGUCGAGCUUGUCGGCUGAGGUAUUGUGAUAAAGUUCAAGAUAGCAGACCCCUUUGCUCGCUCCAUUUUAAAAACAAUGUGUGCAUCCGCUCAGCGUGGUUAUUUGUGGAUGCCACUCACGGCGCAUAGCAUAGAGUUAGACUGAAUUUUUUUUUUUUUUUUUUUUUUUUUUUCUUGUGUUUUUGUUUUUGUUUUUGUUUUUUUUGUUUGUGGUUUGCUUUUACUGGACUUUAAUUGUCUUGAAUGACCUUUGCAAGACUGUACAUGUUUUAUUGAAUUAUGUAUUGUAUUGUCUUGUAUUGUAUUGUUUGUUUUAUUUGUGGACCCCAGGAAGAGUAGCUGCUACCUUGGUGGCGGAUCCGUAUGAAUAAAGAAUAAAGAAUAAAGAAUAGAUCAGCCCCUAUGCAUCGGGCCCAUUGUCUUGAUACCCGAUCUAGAAUUUUCCUCAGUAUCGGAACCGAUGCCAAUAUCAAAUAUCGGAUUGGUGUAUCCCUACCACAGGAUAUAAAUAAAAUGCCAUCAUUGUCAAUAUUUGUUACUAUCAAUCAGUUUGUGAAGAGUUUACUGAAAAAAAACAUACUUUACCAAACUUUUUUAAUGCAUCUCCAUCUUCAAGUUUCUUUGGCCCAUGCUGUUGGAGUAAUUGAAAAAUGGCUGACGUUUAUGUUCCCUGAAGUGACAUGUAUUUUUUAUUACAAAGACGAUUAUUUCAGGAGAAGUCUGCAGUGUCUGUGUGCAUUUUUAACAGUAAGCUGUGUGGAAUCUGCAGCAGCAGCACGUUUAGAUCUAUGCGUCUGCAGCCUGUUGAAGCUGAUGAGUCUCCAGAGCUCCAGACUGAUGUCUCCUCUCACUCCGCCUGAUCUGGGAAUAAUCACUUGUGGAGAUUGGUGAGUGCUGUGUCAGAGACAUUACACUCUAUCUUUGUUAAUUACCCAUGUGUGUGUGCACUUUAGCUCGUCUGACUGGGAGAUAUGGAUCAUUCUGAUAAGUCUUUGUUUCGUCAGAGUUUGUUAUUGUCUCUUCCAUCUUUUCCCCGUCUGUCUGUCCGUCUGUUUCUUUUCUUUUUUCUGUCUUUUUUUCUUCCUCUUCAUGUUUUAUUCUCUUAAUUGUUUCCAGAGUGUUUGUUUGGAAAUUUGUAAAGUUCUCCAUCACACGCAACCAGGAUCUAAGCCAAGGCAUUCCCUUCUCCACACACCCUCAUGCACACACAUACACACGAAUGCAAACACACUAGCUCACAGAAAACGCCACAACUAAUCUACUGUGCACAUGCAUGUAUCUGCACAUACCAGCCUGUAUUAGGUGAAUAAAGGAGGAUAUUGAGAUCCAAAUUUGGAAUGUAUAUAAUUAGACAGGAGUGCGAACACACUUAUCUUGCUCGUGUUUGUGUUUGCGUUGCCAUGGUGAUGCCACUUGCUCACUUAAUCUUCAUGUCUCAGCCACAGAAGUAGGAAAGGUGAGAGCACCACCCAUCCCUUUCCUUUCCUCACACUGCCACGCUUUGCUCAUUCUUAUCUGUUUCCCAACUUUAUCGCCCGCUUUUCUCAUUUUCCCACCCCUUUGUGUCGUUCACACACAUACACACACAGAGACACACACAUACAUAUACACACACAUAUUUGUGUUUAUUUGAUUUACAUUCUUCACCGACCGUGCUCCUCCUUUGCUGUUCUCAUGAUAUUUACUCAGGCAACAGGUCAACAGGUCACGUCAUAUUCUCUCAGCAGGAACUCAAUUUCCCAUCAGCCACUUCACGCUGAGCUAAACCUUUCCUCACGCUGUGGUCAGAUUAAGGUUGCAGAGGGAGGGAUGAGAUCUGACAGAUGAGAAAAGAGACAUAAAAAAGGUCCUGGCUGAGGCGCGUUGACAUGGUGAGAGUUAUGAAGUUAGAUGCUGCGGAAAGGGAGGUGCAGAAGAAAUGUGGGGUGUGUGUGUAAAAGAGAGAGAGAGAGAGAAAGAGAGAGAGAGAGAGCGCACAUGUGUGUGCAUUUGUGUAUAUGCUGGGGGGCAGCAAGGGAGGGUUUGAGGGAACUGUAAGGUGCUUUCCCAAUUCCAGUUUUGAAUUCAUUGUUUUUGCAAAACAUGUGGUCUGAAUUUGGUUUGGGGAGAAAGAAGGACAAGAGUUCUACGAGAGUACACAUGAGUUCUUCAUGUACACACCAGUGCAUACCAACACACACACACACUUGCCGUCAUAGGCACACACUUAAAAUUGUCUGUGAAGUCACGCCCCACAUGAAGGGGAGAAAAUGCUGCUGAAAAUCCAAAGCAGUGAUUUUAAGGGAAAAGGUUUUGUGUGUGUGUGUGUGUGUGUGUGUGUGUGUGUGUGUGUGUGUGAUAGUUGCAUUUUCAGCACCUUUCAGUCUAGAUCAUGUCACUGGCCUUAAAACUAUAAAUCCCUGACAAAACAGUCAAGUGUUUAGAAUAAAUCAGCCAAUCACCUGCUUCCUCUUAUAAGGUCAUCAGGUAAGAGCCCUCUGAUUGGUGGAGACGUUGUAGUGUAGCAGAGCUAAUUGGUUAAUGGUACUUUUCCCAGAUCUCUCACCGCCACCUCGCUACUCAUCUGGUUUCAAUCAGGAAAUAAACCGCUGCCUCAACUUCUCACCUCUUUUCCUCUCUCUCUCUCUUUUUGUUUUACAUCUCCAGCUCUUUCUCUCUGUAUUCGUCAUCCUCUUGUUUUGCUUGCAUAAAAAAAGGGGGAAACCCAGAAGUUGUGGCAGUUGUGAUGAGAAUAUUGUGUAUUCACUGUGGUUUGAAAAAGAACACACAGUAACACACACUUCAAAAACCCUUUCCAUUGUUUUGUAAAGUUAAUGUUCCUUCACUCAGAUUCAGACACCAUUUGUCACAGAAAAGGAGCAUGAUGUUCUUUAUGCGUUGUUUGUAAUAGGCUGAAACGCACCGGACCAUUUCACCUGCUGGUGGAAAAAUUGUAAUCUGGGAUCUCGCCACAAACGCUCCUCUAUUGCACAUCAACACAAUACAUAGAUAAGUUCCUAAAAACAGCUGAAAAAGACCAGAGAUUGAACAGCCCUACCUGGUUUGACGGUAUGCUCUGAGUUCUGACUGUUGUUUUUCUCCGGACUGACCCAUGCAGAUAAUAGAAGAGAAAUAGAAUAGAAAUGGAAGAGGAGUCAUUUUAUGCAGAUUCAGAUGUGGUGAAUAGUUCAUCUAGUCUCUGUGGCAUAUCCAUUAUUGACGGUGAUGCCAGAUUGUUCGUUCUCUGUAGAAGAUAACAAGAAAUCUGUUGACUUGUCUCCAGUCUGUCUGUCCCAUUAGACUUCACUUUAAACUGUCAGUCUCAUCAUUUAUUCAGAUACUGUAACAUCCCUGCUAUAGUCACUAUUUCCACCUGUAGUUUGUUUAUGACCAGGUCAAUUUAGGGUCAAACUGCUGCAUUUUUUAUUGUUUGUUCUUUGAAUAUAAACGAAGUAAAAACAUUUUAAGGAAUUUUACUUUUUUCUAGGGCUUGGCGAUAAAACAAUAACAAUAUCAGUAUAAAACAUGGUCAAUAUGCUUUUCAAUAGUUUUGGUUGACCAUGUUUUUGUUGACUAUAUGAAUAGCCAAUGGAAAGGGGAGUUGCUUCGGGACGCGACACGCUAAACCAAUCGUGCAGAGUAAUGUGCACUGCAAGUUAUGUCGAGUACAUGUUAAAUUUAAUUAAAGAGUGACAGGGAACAUGUAAGAUUGACAACUGAUUUUUCUAUUAUUGUGAUACAUAUCGAUAUCGACUGAUAUGAACAAAUAUAGCAUGAUAAACUUUUUCCCAUAUCGCCCAGCCCUACCGUCUCCCACACACACACACACACACACACACACACACACACACACACACACACACACACACACACACACACGCACACACACGAAAAGUUGUUCACAUUUGCCAAAGUUAUUUUGAGAUUCAGACAUUUUCUGUGAUAAAAAGUGACAGAAAACAAUUCAGAAACCUUCACAUCCAGACAGGUUGUGUCAUCAUAAAUGUUAGAUCAGGUUAACUUGGUAACCAUAGUGACAAUACUUCCAACAUCCAACACAUCCCAUCCAACACCAUUUUAAAUGAGAUCUCUCUCUCUCUCUCUCUCUCUCUCUCUCUCUAAAUUCUGCUGACCUGUGUCUUUGGUAGAAGUUGUUUUCUUCAUCUGCUGUGGUGGCAAACUGCAGCAUUUAUUAGGAGAAUAAUGAAUGUGCGGAAGAUCACUGUGAGAGUAAAGGAACAUCCUCCUGUGUGUGCACAGAAUAAAUGAAAUGAGGAAAUUAUGGUACAAUACCUUUUGCAGAUUCGGGGAGGAUCAUUCUUUGAAUCAAGGUUAUUAAGCCAAGGUAGGUGAGGGAAUCAGAUGUAGAAAUUCUCUCUUAGAGAGAGGUGAAAAAUGUUAUCCCUUGAUCUUAAUAAUAUCCCUUAAAUGACUCUUACUGCAGGAGACACAAGCAUGAUGACAGAAGUAGAAUCUAGCUCCCAUCUUAAAAAUGCAGUGGUGUCCUUUGUAAGACUGAAAUCAAGGAAACCUACAAAUGUGACACAGUGUCCUUGGAAUAAUGUCAUAAAUAUUACCAACAAGAACUGUCAACUGUAUGGUAUAAAAAAGAGAAAAAAAACUUGAAGGGAUAUUCCGGUGUAAAGUUAAGGUUUGGGUCAAACACCGUGGUAGACAACCCCUUGAGAGAUAAAUGUUGCCGACUGCUUGCUUCCCUGCGUCGUGUGCUGUGGAGUUUCGCAGCUCAAGGAAGAACAUUUAUGAUUAUUACUUAAUGGAAAUGCAAUCAGAUCAAGACGCUAAGGCAGAAGAACUACCCCAUCUGCAGUGCAAAAUGAUUAUUAUAAUGACUAUUACUUCAAGAAAAUGACCCGCUGCACUCAGUGAUUGACUCUUCAGGGCUCCCCCACAAACAAGCGGCUGCUGGAGGAGAGUGGGUGAGUUGUGUUUAGUCUUUUUGCUAAAGAAACCAGGCAAAGCUAAAAAGAUGUUUAGAGGCUAGUACUAUGGCUGGGACCCUAUAUGUCCUGUUGAUGAAGUUAGGUGCUGUUCUGAGCAUUAUUUGUGUCUAUAGAGUGGCGUUUUGGUUGAGGUUUGUUUAUGGCUCCUCAGACCGCUGUGUAUUGCUAUCGUGCGGUCGUUACUAAAGUUGAUAUAACUAGAGAAUCAAGCGGUUUGCAACAUUCAUCUCUCGAAAGGGAGUCUAACUCUGUGUUUUGACCCUAAAUUAAUUUUAUGCCGGAAUAUCCCUUUGACAAACCAGAUGUUUAGUAUAACAAAAAGCAUCAUGGGUAAGUCAGCAUACUCGACCAGUGACAAACCGUUUUUUAGAUCUUUUACAAAUCUUGAUUGGAUUAUUUUGGUUUGUUGUAAAUUAGGAAAAUGAGACGUAACCACCAAUCCUUUAAACUUUCCAUUUUCUGCCCAUAUAACUACAUAACAUGACCCAUCCACCCAUGCAUUAGUCUUUUUUUCUAUCACCCAUCAGUCCACCAUAAUACAUCAAUCCACUCUCUAUCCAUCCAUCCAUCCAUCCAUCCAUCCAUCCACUCUGGGUCUUCACAGUGUUUGAAAGAGAGCAUAAAGAAAAAGUCUAUUCUGUGAGUUGUGCUGAAAUAAGACUCUCCAGGUUUUCAAUGAACCCUAGAUGGAUUUCUGCAUUUAUUCAUUCAGCACACUCUUCACUCCAAAGCUGCUACGAGUCUAGAGGUAAAGCUCAAAGAACCUCGUGUAAUUCUGCAGCUGAUAUUUGGAAAUCGCAUCAAGCUUAAGCCUGAGGAUGACUCACUGUAAGAGCACAGCUCUAAAUCCCUCAAGGAGCAAUACGCAAAAAAGGAGAGGAGAUGAGAACUUGGAAAGACUUUUUCCGAGUGUUAUAAGACUGAGGAUGAAGAGGUGAUGAGGGAUAGAGGGGUUUUCUAAAGAGUCCUUUGAGGACACUGUCUUUAAUUUUUAAGCUGAUAUCAAAGUUGUUUGUAUCAUAUUAGAACAUAGACUCACCCUGAAAAGUAAUUUCCUCUGGAGACCGAGGACAUUAGGAGGGGAAAUUUUGAAGAAAUUUGAUCAGCAUACCUUAAAUUACUUGUAAUCCAUCUUGUUAAGCAAGACUUUGUUGAAGAAAGAAAGGACACUUUCGUUUGUGUAUGUGUGUGUUUGUAUACACAUCUAUACAUGAAUCCCAUUAAGAGCGUGUGUGUGUGUGUGUGUGUGUGUGUGUUGGGGCCUCUGAGCUGUGAAUAUUCAUGGGCAGCUAUAAGUGGUUAUGAAUGUGUUGAAAGUGAUUUUCAAUGGACACAUUAUGAAUCACGCCCUGCAAAGGAGCUCAUUCAGAGGCAUCUGUUACCCAACACUGCUGCUGCCAAACGUGUGUGUGUGUGUGUGUGUGUGUGUGUAGGUGUUCAUAUUGGGUUUUUGUGUGCAUGUUUUUUUUUUCUAUAUAUUGUGUUCAUUGUGCCAAAGCCUGAGGAGUGUUUUGUAUAAGUAAAUUUGUGCCAAAAGGGGCCUAAAACCCUGUAGGAGACCCUGAUUUGUUGGUGUGUGUGAGUGUGAGUGUGUGUGUGUGUGUGUGUGUGUGUGUGUAAGACUUUCUGCACGCACUGCAGAGGUUUGAAGCAAAUGUCACUUUUUGAUUUAGUGAAACUGUCGGUUCUCCGUAUUCAUGUGUGUGUGCGCGCCCGUGUUUCAAUGCAUCAAAAGAAGAGGAUAUAAAAGGUGAAUGUCAGUCUUUGAUGUAAAACUUCCCACUGUUAAACUUCAGCUUCAAUCAACAUCUUAACCCCAGCACACACACACACACACACACACACACACUUAAACACACUUACACACACCUAGCGCAGCCACAGUUUAACGUCCGACUUCUCAGUGAGAAGUUUAAAAAUCUGGAGACGGAGGAGAGUCAAAGGAAAACAGCCUAAUGUAGAUGAAUGUGGUACAGACAUGAUCAUCCUCCUCACCUGUUCAUUUCGCAACAGGUGUCUUCAUUUUCAUCUGUGUGCGUGUGUUUGUGUGUGUGUGUGUGUGUGUGUUUGUGUCUGUGCCGGUUUGUUUACGUCGCGCUUUAGUUGCAGUCUUGUCUGUGUUACUUGAGCGCGGGCGUGCACGUGAUCAUUUACAUGAUCACACAGAGAAUUUGGCAACAAACCACCAGCCUACCAUCUGCUACUACCCGAGCAUGCAGAGUGCGUUCACACACGCACACAAAGACACACACACACACACACACACACGCACACACCUGUCAAUCCAUUCUGUUUUGUGCGCUCAGUGCUUCGAUACGCCACGCUGACUUGCUGGAUUAAUUGUGUGAUUUAUUCAGUUGGUUCCUGAUUUGGGGUGAGGCGGCCUUUUGCAAAGGGUGGAAACCAUCAUUAAAUCUGACAUCACCCCCCCCCCCCCUCCCUGACAUGCACACACUCACACUCACACACGCUCGCUAACUCCCCCUUCCUAAAGCACAUACACUCUCUUAACAAAGCAGCUGUUGCAUAGCAUAACACUGAAAAUGAGGAGUCUGCUGCAUUUCGUGCAUCUUGAUGUUUUGAUUACUGAACUUAUGUUGUGUGUGUGUGUCCUCCUAGCAAAGGUGUCAUAAUGGCCCCCUGCUGUUCAGACCUCAAUUAACCCCCUGCAACUGCACAGCAGAGACACAGUGUGGGGAAAAGAGGGAGGAGGGAUAGAAGAGGAUGGUGGUGUCAGAGGAAUGAUAGAGAGAUAGAGAAAAGUGGAUUUCGUGACUGGUUAAUUUCUCUUCCUCUGAAGAGUUGUAUUUUUCCUUCUUUCAUCUAUCCAUCUAACCCUCCUCGCCCCCCUGUCCGUCUGAAAGGCGCCUGGGGGCAGAUGCAGGAACUGAAUUCAGGAGUGGGACUUGGACAAUGGCGGGUUGAGCCAGCUUUACAAACCCCUGACCGUCAAGUGGACGGCCUGUGAAAGCUGUUAGCCUCCAGACCUGCAAAAAUACUCGGCACACACACACACACAUCUACAGAGGAGGAAAGAGAGAGAGAGAGAAAGAGAGGGAGCAAAGGAGCCCUUUUCUUCUUUACACUGACAAUAAUAAUAGCCAGGGUAAUCUUGUAAAAAGCACUUCAGGACAAUCUGAGAAAAUGUGGCCCAUAGCCCGUGGCUUGUGACUGAAUGUGACCCUGCAGAUGGCAGUGACACAGAUGGAGUUAGAGAGGAAAGUGACUGAAAGCAACCGUAAGCAAGAAUCCACUCAUUCAGUGCCAGUCAAAGCCACAAGAUGGUCCAUUUGCAGCUGUGACAGCCUCAUCCUAUUUCAACUUUGCUCGGAGUGUUUGUUCGAUCUGUCCUUUCUCAUAAAGCUGAUAGAGGGAGAGAGUAAUGAACUUUUAUCCCAUUAGCUUCCCUGGCAUCAUUCUCCUGCCCUCAGCAGUCAUAGCAAUGAAACAUAUUGGAGCUGAGGACAGCAGGGACACACACAAACACACACACAAACAAACACACAUUUGACUACAACAACUGAUUCCCACCCUGACUUAAGGGCACCAAAUCUCCCCAAACUCAAAAUCAAUGUACAGGCAUGUUUAAUUUAAAGGCAUGCAGGCAAAUUAAACAUCUGCACAAAUACAUGUACGCACACACACACACACACAGACACACGGAGACACACACACACACACACACACCAAGGGGAGCCCAGGGUCAGACAGGACUGAUUGUCUCUUCCAGUCGCUCCAGAGAGCAUAUUGAUUUUUCCCACACUCCUCUUUCUACACACCUCCCUCUCACUCACUCGCCUCCUCGAUUCCUCUCUUUCUCUGCGAAAGACCCGUCAUAUUUUUUCUCUCCCUCCUUUCUCUGCCCUGUUGUCCUUUCCUCGGACCUCACUUUUUCUUUCUGAACUCUUCUCUCACUGUCACUCCUCCCACUCUCUCCAGUUCUCCAUCUACCCCCCACCCCCCAACCUUUACACUUUGUUUUUCUGCGGUGUUUCAGUCUCUUCCUGUGGACUCCUCUCAAGUGUUGAACAGGACUGACCCUUAUUCCUCCUCUGGGGAUUCGGAAACUCACUUUGAUUCCUAUAGACAGUGUUACAAUAAAACACAUCUCCAGGGUGUUUUGGAUACGUGUGUGACAGCUGUAAGUUGGUCCCCAAAAACUCAAACAACAUCAGUUACACCAAGAAUCAGGAUCUUGUUUUUUUCUUUUGUCAAAUCUGCAUUUUGGUGCAAUUUCUUCCUAUUUAUGGACCCUUAGUUGCAAGUUGGUCACAAGGGAAUGACUUGAACAUUUAUUUUUCUUCUUUUUUUUUAUCAUGUAACCUGUAUACUUGAAAACAAAUCAAAAGAAAAUCAGUUUUUAGGGUUCAUAUAAACUGGGUAGAGGCUCAUUUUGACUUAAUAAUUACAGUAAAACUGAGACCCAUCCAUCCAUUUUCUACCGCUUAUUCCUGUUUGGGGGUCGCGGGGGGGCUGGAGCCUAUCCCAGCAUCUUCGGACGAAGGCAGGGGACAUCCUGGACAAGUCGCAAGUUCACAGCAGGGCUGACAUAUAGAGACGAACAACCAUCCACGCUCACAUUCACAUCCACGGGCAAUUUGAAAUUGGCCAAUUAACCUAACCCCACUUCUGCAUGUUUUUGGGAUGUGGGAGGAAACCAGAGUAUCUGGAGUAAACCCACGCAGACAAAGCUGAGACCCACUCGACACAAAUGAAAAGGCGCCUCCUUGGGAGAUGCAAAAAAACAGGAAAUGAUGGCGUUCACUUUGUAGUUGUUUUUGGCGGAGCGAAUCUUGUGUCACUUUUGAUCAGUACACUUGAACAGCAAAGACGGUCUUCUGACUAACUAUUGGUCGGAAUCAUAGACUGAAUAUACUAUGAACAACUUGGUUCCGCCUUCUGCAGUAUAGUAUUUGAAGCCGAUUUUUCUCCAUUUCCUAAAACCAACAUUGCGCAGUAGCAUUGUACACAUUCAGUGGGAGAGUCGCUGAGAGUCGCUGUGAUGACGCUCGGCUCAAACAGCAUAUCCCCCGGGUGAGCUGCUCAAUCUGCAUACGCCCAUAGGCUGAAUCAAGUGUCAAUCAUAGAAAACAUGAACCCCCUAAUAAAUUCUAAAAAUGGAGCUUCACAGAAAAAAGAGGACUUGGGCACAAACCAGUCUAACAGUAACUACAUGUCAACAUCGCAAACAGGGGAGAGAAAUUUAUAGUCUGUGUAAUAAAUUUCUAAAGUUUGUCCACAGCUCCAUAGGGAUUGCUGGAGGAGUCGGGAUUUAUGACCUAUACUGCAGCCCGUCACCAGAGGGUGCUGUUCUCUGAGUGGCUUCAUCCAGCAAAGAGGCAGACAGCUUCCAAUCUAUAUACAGUCUAUGGUUGGAAUCCCUUGUCAAGCUGGUCAUCAUCCCCAGAGGCAUUUAUAAUACAGAAAAUAUCUAUUCAUUGAUUCAAUAUCAAAUUAAAGAAAAGAAAUACAAACAAACUAUGUUCAACAAAGACUUAUCGAAUAGAAAAUAGAAUCAGAUAUAUCUACACCAUCAAAGCCAGAUUUCCAAGCUGCCUUUCAGAGUGUAGGAACCUCAGAUGAUUUACCUACCCUCCUUAUACUCCUCUUUCACUGAAGCUGCAGGACUCCCCACAUCAUUCCUCUGAUCUGACACAAAGCAGCCCUUUUCCAUAAAGCCCCAUCUGCAACAAGAGCCCCGCUCUUGUCAGGGAAUCAUAUACUGUGUCAGUAUUUAAGAGCCAUUUCUUCAGCGCAGCUUAUGGGUCGCUAUAACUCAUUCACUAACUUCUCCUGCUGCAGCACCGCUCUCAUCAAGCUGGGGCUUUAUUUCAUCAUGUUUGUUACACCUGGCUCUCUUUUUUUUCCUGCGCUUGUUAGCUUUUUUUUUUUAUUCUUGACGAAAAAAAGUCUGAGCAAAUUCUCAGACAAAUUCCUGGAUUAUGCACAGGAUGAUAAACAGAUGACAAUAUCUCAAGCAUGGACGCCGUUGCCGACAAAUGUGCAUAAGUGAAUAUGGGAGUGUGUCAGGAUGCAGUGUUUUAUGGCCCAAGUUAUUAAAUCCAUGAGGCUUUUUCAAUAGAGGAGGAGAGAAAAGAGAGGAGAACAUGCUCUUUUUUUUCUUUUUUCUUCAAUUCAGAAAAGAAGAAAAGAAAAAAGUAAAGAGGAGAAAAGCAGGAUUAUAUUUUCUUUAACCUAUAACCUGUUCAGUCUUUGCUUACUCUUGCUCUCUGUCCUGCAUCUUGCCUUGAUUUGGAGGAGAACAUCACAAAUAGGAAAUAUUCAAUCUCUCUCCUAAUCCCAAUGAGGGUUUCAGAUAUAGCUUCAGACAGAUGUUGAAUCUGUUGUCACAACAGUGCCACCCGAUCUGCAAACUCCGCACAAGGCACAAUAAGUUUCACACACAUGUUUAUCUUGUACUUACGGGCUAUUUUAGGGUUAUGGCGGUUGAGUUGUUUUGGUUCACAUCCACGGAAAAGCCGCAGUCAGUGCUUAAACAUACAAACGCUGAGGGAUGAUUGUGUAAAGGGAUUAGAGUGGCGGAGACUCUAUUGUUGCGCCAUGUGAGGAAAUAUGCUAUGACUAUCAUGUCUGGUCGGAUACUCUGUCAUCUUAUUGCUUAACACACAUUUGACCUGAUAUUAUAUAGAAACUGAAGGUACAAAAAAAGCCGACUAAACAUAAGUUUAAAUGUUUUUUUAAAAAGGUGCCAGAUUUGUCAUUUUAUGUAAUAAUUGAUCAAGAGUACCUUAAAGUUACUUCAAUUGAGCUAAAGACAAAGUUGUAUUAGGAAGUUGUGGUUCACUCUAUUUGACGCCUGUCUCUUUAUGUAUAAUGCGUUACUAUCAUGUUAUAGCACUGUAUAACUGUAGUUAUAAACAUUCAUAAAUGAUCAUAAUGCUUUAUAGCAAUAAUCAUAACACAUUAUGAAGCAUUUAUCAUGACUUACAAGGUCAGGUAUUAUAAUGUGUUAUAACUGUUAACUACUCACUGACAACGCCCACAUAGAUAAUGCAAUAUACAUAUAUUUAUUAUGUGUUAUCAUUUUCUUAUAAACUAUAACUAUCAUUAUAAACACUCAUUAAUCAUCAUAAGGCUUUAUAACAAUAGGAAUAACACACUAUAAUACCUGACCUUGUAAGUCAUGAUAAAUGCUUUGUAAUGUGUUAUGAUUAUUGCUAUAAAGCAUUAUGAUCAUUUAUGAGUGUUUAUAACUAUAGUUAUACAGUGCUAUAAUGUGAUUAUAACACAUUAUACAUAUAUUUAUAAUGCGUUAUAGAGAGAGGCAUCAAAUAAAGUGUAACUGAAGUUUUACAAGUAAUUUUUUUAUAUAUUUGUUUCUCUUUUUUUUCAUUCAGGUAACAUGAGCUGAUUGAUUAUCCGUCUCAAUCAGAGGCUCUGUGAAGGCAGACACACCUUUCCGCUGCAGCAGCAACAGAGGAGGAGCAGAGGUUUUCCGACGUACCGCUCUCUUCACUGGAUCCUUUCUACCUUCUCAGCAUCUCCCCGGGCCUCCCUCUGCAACAGGGUGUGUGAGCCAGACAACACAGCUUAUAGUCCCAUCAUAACAAAAGGUAACCAGCGACCUACACACCUCAGGGCCUCAAUCCAGUUUCCAUACACCCCAACACACGCUGACAGAGGGAGUGGAUGGAAUCUCAGUCAAAGGGAGGAGUUUCUUUUUUUUUAAUGUUACUGUUUGUGUGUUUUGGUGUGGCACUGUGUGUUCAUCCCACUAAAUGUGAGUGUGUGUGUGUGUGUGUACCGGUGCAGCUGUGUAACCAGCCCCUGUGUUGACAGUGCCAGUUCAAACACAAACAUCAUUGAGUUUUAAUAAUGUGAUUAUCUGACUACACAAACGAGAUGGAUCUGAUGCAGCAGAUUUGAUUACUGAGGUUAAUUAAUACAAAGAUGUAAUAGAGCGUUUGAUAUGCUGUCUGUGUGUCUGUCUGCUUCACUGUGUGUCUGCGCAUUGAUGAAUAUUUGCAAGAUGUGUGUGUGCGCGUGUGUGUUUGUGUGAAGCUUUUAGCCGCAUGUGUCUCAGUAGCAGCUGUCCAGAGGCCAGGUGGCUGAACUGACCCAAGACACACACACACACACACACACUCACACACACUCACCCUGACCCUCACACCUUCAGCUUUACUGCAUGGCCAUAAACCAAAGAUAACACAAACAGCUCCUAAAUCAACAGAGCAGAUUGAGCAGCACCAACAUCGCAGCCGUCAGACAGAUUCACUUCUCAUUAGCAGCUCUGCAGCUCUGCUAACCCGCCAAAUUCAGCAUCCAUGAAGAUCUCAUGUUGUCAUGGUUAUAGAAGAAACACAUAAAUAAACUUUAAACCUUUUUUCUCCAUAAUGACAGCAUGCCUCUGUUGUUACGUGAAAGAAGCUGCAUAUAGUUUGAGGUUUGGGGUCUUGCUUUGUUUUUCUUUCUUAAACGUUGGAAAGUCUUUAAAAUAUUAUUGUGGGAUAUUUAAUCUUGUGUGGGUGAGGCAAAAAUAUUCACUCGUUUAUUAUUUUACAACAAACCAAGACUCUAUAAUUUAAAACUAGGACUUGGGUUAAUGACAGUUUAGCUAAAAUUGUGUUAAAUCACUAAGUAAAGUCGGAGUAUAGUGAAACUGUAGUGAAUCUGAGAAAUCUAGUUUGUCUAGUUGCACCUGCCUAUAUUAACAAUGCUAAUGUCAUGUCAUGUCACUUCCUGAG